AACAAGAAUGUCUGAAAGAGUGUGACAAUCUUGGAAGGAAUCUGACAAUCAAAGAAGUCUGUCUGAAAGGAAAAUUUUUACAAGUCUAAGAAAAGCCUGCCAGGAAGAUAUGACUUUAACAAGAGUGUGCCACAGGAUACUACAAAUUGCUUGACGUAUCUGUUUUGAACAUAAUACUUGCACGAUUACUUAUCCUACAAUUACCUUACAAUAUAGAUUUGGUCUCUCUGUUAUCUAAUGUACAGUAACCACAGGCAAGCAGGCUGCAGUCAAGUUAUAUUAACAAAUUUGCUUGGCACUAACAAACACAGCAUAGUUCAAAAAGAUAAAAAGUUACAGGUUGAUACUUAGGUACAAAGUAAUCCACAGGCUUGAGCCAACCAAUAUUAGCAUAAUUGUUGCAACCUUUCCCCAAACUAAAAAAUAAUAAUAAUAAUUCAUGCUGCAGUAUGAACGUAAAUUUACCUCAAGGAUUGCUGAUUCUCGCAAGCCUAACAUCGAGUGAACAUCAGAAAAUGGGCUGAGCAUUUUUGAACCUUUGUUAUUCUUUUGUGGAACAAAAAGUCUCAUAGUAUCAGGUCUGACAUUAGUCAAUUCCUGAAGUUUCUGCCCAAACUCCUUGACAUUAGAAUCUGGGUUGACAUUUACAUCGAACUGCUUGCCUCUCCAAAUUACCAGAAUGUUGCAAGAUUGCUCCAUUUCCACAGAAUACGAACUUGCGAAUAUGCUGCUAAAGCUGCACUAAUUUUUUAUGUAUUUCCUAUAAGAGAAAAAAAUGCAACCAUAAAAAAAAAAGUCUUGUAUAUUCACUUGAAAUAAUUCUAUGAAUAUUCAUACAACAAACAAGUGCAAGAUACUCUUGGAGGCCAACAAAACCACAGUUGAGCAAAAACAAACGGCAACGAAUGCAAAGGUUAUAAAAGUGAAAGCUAUAAUCAUUAAUAAUAUGCAUUAUAUCACCAACCUAAGUGUCAAAUGUCAUUUGAACUUGAAAUCCAUUAAUAAUUUAUAAUUUUUAUAAUAUAACUUCAAAUAAGGCUUUUAAGUUCACUAAGUUGUAAAAUUAUGAGCUGUCACUCAAACUGCAACCCUUCAUUGACCUAAACCUUAAUCGAAAAUGGUUCAACUGAUUUGAACCUAGUAGGUUUUUAGCUAGAACCCAACUGGCCAGCCAUCAAAUUUGCUUAAAACUAGUCUGGAACCACCCUAAACCAGCCUAAUUGGGCUUAAUAAGGCCCAGUUUGGGCUAAACCGGCUUGAACCAGACAAGACAAGGUAUGUUCAGAAUCACUCUGAACAGAUCCGGUUUGAUUAGUUACAGGGCUCGCACCAAGCCACAGGGGUCCACGGGUCAACCUGCAUGUGGGGCGCAUGCAUUGGGCUACUAUGGGCUGCAGGCGUAGGCCAUAAUUGAGCUAAAAGAGGUCGGGUCGAGCUCGAUCCAAGGCACACAAUGCUAGGCCGGGCUGGAAUGGCACAUAGAGGCCCUAGACCAGGGUCAUAUGCACCGCACAUGGCUGCACAAUAGAAGUGGGCGAUGGAUUAGGCCUUAGUGGUGAGCCACACAUGGGCCUUAAGCUCUAGGUUGCGCCAGCCCGCACUAAGCUGAUGUGAAUGGGUUGCGUUGGGCCUCUCCGGGCUACAUCACAUCAUUGCAUGGCACUGGGGGUUGGACCUGAGCCACCAUGCUAGGUCACUAUGCGCUGCUUGAGCAAACCCACGCCAUAGGCUCUAGGUCACCUCAGACUGAGCCAAAGGUCUGGGUUUGACCAACAUCCAGGCUGGGCUCAGGUGCAUGCAGUUUGGUCUGAUCGGAUCCAACCAACGGUGGCUCUAGUCAGACUCAAUCCGAACUCAUUUUCCCUGAUUCCAAUCCGAUUUCAGUCCCUUUUAUUUAACAAUGUUGUUAAAUAAUUAAACUAAUCAAUCUGAUUUAAUACAAGACGUGGAUAAACACUAUAAAACUAUUAAAUAGUUAAAUUAACAUGCUAAAUUAAAGGAAUUAACAUGAUGCAAAAUGAUUAUAUCAUCAACCUUAAAAAGCAUUCAAUUUAAGAUAAAACGACAUGGAUAUCAUGAAGUUCAUUAAUUAAACUCUACUAAUCAUGAUUUAACGCUUAAACUGAUUAAAAUAGCAUUGAAGCUCAUAAAUCAUGAUCUUGAAAAUCGAGGAUUAAUUUAAUACCCAAAAAUCAUCAUUUAAAAAUUCCAAAAUAUAAACUAAUUGAAGGAACAUAUAACACUUUUAAUUCCUAAAAUUUGCAGAAAAUAUAAAUCAUCAUUCUCAAUUAAAGAAAGAUAGAGGACCUACUUUUCAACAAGACGAUGAUUCUCCACCUCCUUCCCGCUAAAAGACAACAAACGAGGAAUAGGAGGGGGUACAUCAUCUUUAAAUAUGAGGGAAUAGAUGGCUCUCCCAAAGAAAAUAAUUAAUUAAUAAUUUUUUGGAUUAAUUAAUUAAUCUCAUUCAAAAUCAGUCAGCACAAUAGAGGAUAUAAGAAUCAAUCAUUAAUUUUUUUUCUUCUUAAUUAGAUUGUUCAAUCAAGGAAAUAGAUUAAUCAUAUACGGUAGAAUUCUAACAUAGAAAUUUUUAUUUUCGGAAAAGAAAGAAGAAUAUCUCAGUCAUCACAUUGUCAUUGAUUAAACAAAUCCUCUUGAUGAAUCAUUUAUGAUAUAUAGCUCUAUGCAAUUUGACCAUAAAUAUUCUAAAAAUUAAAUGUGACCCAGUAAGCUUAUGGAUGUAGUGCAACAAAACAUGGAGCACAUUGAAGCAAAUCAUAUAGUAGAUAUUACAUGUUUGUUAUUGACAAAGCAACCCUAGAAAAAUGUCACCCAAAAUCACUUAUGAUAUAUAACACUUUUGAUUCCUUGCAGAAAAUAUAAAAGAAAGAGAAUCUACUUUUCAACCAGGUGACAAUCCUCCUCCUCGUUAUUUCUCGUAGACUGGCAACAAAUAUGGAACAGGGGAGGGUAUGUCAUCUUAAAAUAAAAGGGAAUGGAGGGCUCUCCAAAGGGAAAUAAUUAAUUAAUAAUUUUCGGAUUAAUUAUUCAAUUAAUUAAUUUCAUUCAUAAUUUAUCAGCACAAUAAAAAAAAUAAGAAUCAAACAUUAACUAUUUUCCUUAAUUAAAUUUCUCAAUCAAGAAAAUAGAUUAAUCAUAUAAGGUAAAAUCCUAACAUGAAAAUUUUUAUUUUUGGAAAAGUAAGAAAAGUAUCUCAGUGAUUACAUUUACAUUGGUUGAACAUAUCUUCUUGAUGGAUCAUUUAUGAUACAUAGCUCUGUCCAAUCUAACCAUAAAUGUUCAGAAAAUCAGAUGUGACCUGGUAAGCUUAUGGAUGUAAUGAAAGGAAACAUGGAGUACAUUGAAGCAAAUAAUAUAGUAGAUAGUACAUGUUUGUUGUUGACAAAGAAAUUUUAGAAAAUGUCACCCAAAAUCCAGGAUGUCUAACCAUGAACUAUAGGUGCUGACAGAAGCUAGCAAUUCAUAUGAAACAUAGUAGCCAUGAGCUGGAAAUACCUAAAGGAGCUCAUGCAAUGGGGAAUCAUGUUAUAUGCCAAUCAGCAAGCUGAAAGAUCGUCUAGGGUAGUAAUUAGUGAGAACAACAGAGAACAGAACAACAUGUCUUCAAAAAGCAAAGUAACAAUGACUCCACACAAUGAAAUUUAAAAAAUUGCUGCAUAAAUAUAAUCUUUUCUAAUUUUCAAUAUUCAUAUGCACUUCUAAAUAACCUCGAACAAGAUUUGCACAAAUUAACAAGAAAAGUGAGAGAAUUUAAAAGCUAGGCGUCCAACAUCUUAGACAUGCAUUAAUUCAAUGCAGGGUUCUGCGGUCACUGGAAGAACUUUCAAUUCUUAUCUAUAAUUUAAUUAAGUUCCCCAACAAAAUAUCAAACUAGCAUAAUAUCAAUCCAUAACAUCAGUUCCCAUUGUAAGGAUAAACCUUAUCAUUGUCUUCAAUCAAAACCUACCACACGUCCACCGGUUUGGCCUCUUAAAAUCCCUUUAUUUUGCACUAAUGUAACUACAGUUCCUGCCGAUAAGGAACUAAGAAAAACAAAAAAACGAGGUUCAAUUUUCAACUUUCGUUUCAACAAAAUACACGAAAAUUUCGACUUGAGAAAGGUCUUAAGGGGCUACCUUUUAUCGUAUAAUUAAACUACAACUAACUUUAUUUUCCCUAAUUCUCACAACAAGUUCGCGAUCAAGAAGGGACUUCUCCGAAUCCUAACGAUGCUAAGAUCAAUCCAACCAAGAAUUCGUACGAUCCAAAAAAAAAAAAACAUACAAUCGAUCAAUAGCACGGUCAUCUAAUUUUGAACAAAAUUGAAACCAUAGAGGUGUCGAAGAUCGAUCUUCUACCGCAAAAGUCCCCAAUCGAACAAAUUCAGAUCGUCGCGAGAUACAAGAAUAAAAGAGAAUCGGCUAUACUGCCACAAAUACAACCAGCAUGUACAAAUUCGAUCAAUAAAGAUCCAUAAGCAACUAUAAACCGUCAUUUUGGGACGCGAUUAGACGACAUCAGAAACCCUGAAGAACACAAUUAUCUUUUGCGAAGAAACAAAAGGCGGUGAACUUACCUCCUGGCGAUUGAUGGUGACGAAACCCAGCGGAGGGGUUUGUGCUUCUUCGUCUGUGUGUGUGUAUAUAUAUAUAUAUAUAUAUAUAUAUAUUUUUUUUUUUUUUUUUUUAUUUGUCCCGUGAAGGAAACAAUCACCUGCGGUGAGGGUAGGAUUUCCUUUUGAACGAGAAACUUCGAGUUCUUGUGCCCUCCGAGAGUUUUCUGACUGGGUUUGGAUUAAGAGGAGGUGGCGGUAAGAACACCGGAGCGAAGACGGAGGGAGACGGACUCACCGGAAAGUCAACCGCGCAUGUUAGCAUCAGAACGAAGGAUACGUCAAUACUGCGCUGAUAUUUUAAUUUAUUUAUUGCAUAGUUGCGUCAGUGAUGACUCAGACGGACGAGGAAUAAUCCAGAAGUUCACCAGCCCAUGUUAGAAUCAGAACGAAGAAUACGGCUAAAAUGAACCAUUUCUUUGUGGCAUCGUUACGCUGAUUGCUUUGCCACAGGAUACAUAUGAUGUCAGCAUUAAGCCCAAAAUUAUCCGGCCUUGCACGGGCCGGCCCGGUUUGAUUCCCGAAUCUACCACGUCUCAUACGGGUCCGGUCUUUUCGAUCUAUAGAAGGAUCUAGAAACGGAAUUUUAUUUUCCCUCUAUAUAUAGGCCAUUUCUUCGCACAGCGGUCGGGUCUUUUCGAUCUAUAGAAGGAUCUAGAAACGGACUUUUAUUUUCCCUCCAUAUAUAUAUAUGACAUUUCUUCACACAGCGGUCCGGUCUUUUAGAUCUAUAGAAGGAUCUAGAAACGGAAUUUUAUUUUCCCUCUAUAUAUAUAUAUGCCAUUUCUUCACACAGCGCCCGUUGGAAUCCCUAGCGCCGAAGAAGCCUCCGCCUAAAUCUCUCCCUCAGUUUCACUCUCAUUCUCUCGAUCGAGUUCGAGUUCUCUUUACAGGGCCAGCCAUGGCGGCCGAGACGGAGACCUUCGCUUUCCAGGCGGAGAUCAACCAGCUUCUCAGCCUGAUCAUCAACACUUUUUACUCCAACAAGGAGAUCUUCCUUCGAGAGCUCAUCAGUAACUCUUCCGAUGUAAGCGUCGUGUUGCCUUGAUGCAUCGAUCUGAAGUUUUAAAAAGAUCUCUUUUUUUGGGUGUUUGCUUCGUUUUUGGUCCUGAUAUGGUGCCCUCAAUAGGCGUUGGACAAGAUCCGGUUCGAGAGCCUGACGGACAAGAGCAAGCUUGACGCCCAGCCGGAGCUUUUCAUCCAUAUCAUCCCUGACAAGGCCACUAACACCUUGUCCAUAAUCGAUAGUGGCGUCGGCAUGACAAAAUCCGAUCUUGUCAACAAUCUCGGCACGAUCGCUCGGUCUGGGACCAAGGAGUUCAUGGAGGCGCUUGCCGCUGGCGCCGACGUCAGUAUGAUUGGGCAGUUUGGAGUGGGGUUCUACUCCGCGUAUCUGGUAGCCGACAGGGUGGUCGUGACCAGCAAACACAAUGAUGAUGAGCAGUACGUCUGGGAGUCGCAGGCUGGGGGUUCAUUUACGGUCACCAGGGAUACAUCAGGGGAGAAUCUCGGGAGGGGGACAAAGAUCACCCUUUUCCUUAAGGAGGAUCAGGUAAACACAAUCCCCCUGGAUCAUAAUCCUUAGGACAACUAGGAUUUUUCUGGUUUGUCAUAGUUGUUUCACAUGAUAAGAACAUUUUCUUUCCAGUCAGUAUGGUGUUAUUUUCCUUGUCUGCUGCAGCUAUUCUUGCUCAAUUUACUGGGUGGGGUAAAUCCACGAGAAACAUCUUUGUGAUGUUCACUUUGCUUUUUCGAGCUUGUAUUGUGGUUACAUGCACGUGGAAACAACCAUUGAGUAGAGCUAAUUACCAGAGGAGUAAGUCAGGAAAAUGAAAUUAUUGAAUCCAUAAUCAGUAGAUGUUAGUUAUAAUUUGACAUCGUGUAUAUGUUCUUCAUUCAUAAGGUUGAAGAGCCAACUUAUGGACUCUGAGAGAUGCUAUCUGAGGUUCACUGUUUUACUUAUGAAUUUUGAUUAUAAAGAUGAAUUUGUGUGGCUUUAACUUGUGUGUUUCGUUUCAGAUUUGCCUUUAGUCAUUAGUCAAGCAACUGCUCAAAGACGAAAAAUAUAUAUGAAGUAUGCUGUUGUUCAGCUUGUUCUCGUGCUUCUGGUGGUAUAGUUCUAGGUUAUUGCAUUCUUAUAUCUAUUUGUUCAUAUCUACUAAUCUAUUAUCUGUUGGAUCCACGUCCUAAUGUAUUUGUCCGUGUUUCCUUUGUUUCACCGUCAUGAAAUCAUGUAAUAAGAUACUCAGCUGUCGUAUUGCUAUGCUAGAAUCAAAUAUUAGCAUCCUUUUAAGGACUGCCUUUGCUUUGCUUCGAUUUUACUAAUGAAUGAGAAGCUUGAUUGCAGUUGGAAUAUCUUGAGGAACGUCGCCUUAAAGACUUGAUCAAGAAGCACUCUGAAUUCAUCAGCUAUCCCAUCUCCCUGUGGACUGAGAAGACUACAGAGAAAGAAAUUUCAGAUGAUGAGGAUGAGGAGGACAAGAAAGACACUGAAGAAGGCAAGGUGGAAGAUGUUGAUGAGGAGAAGGAAGAGAAAGAGAAGAAAAAGAAGAAGAUCAAGGAGGUUUCUCAUGAAUGGUCUUUGGUCAACAAACAGAAGCCCAUCUGGAUGAGGAAGCCUGAAGAGAUUACAAAGGAGGAGUAUGCUGCUUUCUAUAAGAGUCUCACUAAUGACUGGGAGGAGCAUUUGGCUGUGAAACACUUCUCUGUGGAAGGCCAACUUGAGUUUAAGGCUAUUCUUUUUGUGCCAAAGAGGGCUCCUUUCGACCUCUUUGACACAAGGAAAAAGCUGAACAAUAUCAAGCUAUAUGUUCGUCGUGUCUUCAUUAUGGACAACUGCGAAGAACUAAUGCCGGAGUACUUGGGCUUUGUCAAAGGGAUAGUGGACUCUGAGGACCUUCCCCUCAAUAUCUCAAGAGAGAUGCUCCAGCAGAACAAGAUUCUCAAGGUCAUCCGCAAGAACCUGGUCAAGAAAUGUAUCGAACUCUUCUUCGAGAUUGCUGAGAACAAGGAGGAUUACAACAAGUUCUAUGAGGCGUUCUCAAAGAAUCUCAAGCUUGGAAUCCAUGAAGACUCUCAGACCAGGUCAAAGAUUGCAGAGUUGCUGAGGUUCCACUCUACCAAGAGUGGGGAUGAGCUGACUAGCCUCAAGGACUAUGUUACGAGAAUGAAGGAGGGUCAGAAUGACAUUUACUACAUAACUGGUGAGAGCAAGAAGGCUGUGGAGAACUCUCCGUUCCUUGAAAAGCUGAAGAAGAAGGGGUACGAGGUUCUUUUCAUGGUUGAUGCAAUUGAUGAAUAUGCCGUGGGUCAACUGAAGGAGUUUGAGGGGAAGAAGCUGGUUUCUGCAACAAAGGAGGGGCUGAAGCUUGAUGAGAGUGACGAUGAGAAAACGAGGAAGGAAGCCCUGAAGGAAAAGUUUGAAGGGCUCUGCAAAGUAAUCAAGGAAGUGUUGGGUGACAAGGUGGAGAAGGUAGUAGUGUCUGAUCGCGUUGUUGACUCACCCUGCUGUUUGGUCACUGGCGAGUACGGAUGGACUGCGAACAUGGAGAGGAUUAUGAAGGCACAAGCUCUCAGGGACUCCAGCAUGGCUGGCUAUAUGUCCAGCAAGAAAACUAUGGAGAUCAACCCAGAGAAUCCUAUCAUGGAGGAGUUGAGGAAGCGAGCAGAUGCUGACAAGAAUGACAAAUCAGUUAAGGACCUGACACUUCUGCUGUUUGAGACUGCUCUCCUCACCUCUGGUUUCAGCCUGGAUGACCCCAAUACUUUUGGCAACAGGAUCCACCGCAUGCUGAAAUUAGGUCUCAGCAUCGAUGAGGAUGAAAAGGUUGAAGACACUGACAUGCCUACGCUUGAGGAUGCUGCUGAUGCCGAAGAGAGUAAGAUGGAGGAAGUGGACUAAUCUGGAUUAAGCUUUGCUUUCUGUAUUCUGCUGCUUCUCUUGCAAUUUUUUGGUGUGCUUUUCAGAUAUGCACUAACUAUGUAGAUGGCCUUCAUCGCCUUUUGCCAAAGAGAUCUUUACAAGUUUUGUUUAUGCAUGCAUGGAUAACUCAUGUUGUAUGUUAACAAGUCAUAUGGUUUGAAUGUCGAUUUAGCAUGGUUGAUAUUUCCUUUUUAUAGCCGUGUCUUGUGGCACGAAGCUGCAUGAAAACAGAAUCAUGUCUAAGUUUGUCUUGAUAGUAAAUGCCAUGUUCCAGAGUAAGAUUUUGCUUUCAUUCAUUCGAGUUCGAUCGAUCAUGGAGCAUUUGGUUAUCGAAGUUCUAGAUGUUUUGCUUUAAUCAUUAGCUACGCUAUGGAAGUCAUAUGUGAAUUGUGAUGAUAUAAAUGAGAAGCUGCUGAAGAAUGACUGCCAAAUUCAACUUUACGGACAAAAGAGACAGACAUACUGAUAAUAGAUUCGGAGGAACAGAAUCUAUACUAUGUGAACAUACUGACUACGGGUGUCUUCGUUUUGUCACCCAUUGUUCUUAUUGAAGCAGAAAACAAAGAGCAGGUGGUUGCGUGGUGAAUCAAUCAGCUGCAAGCCUGCGGCACAAAUCCAAUCCUCUCGUUUCCUAGAUCAUAGACCACUUCAAACGUUUGCUGCUGCACGUUGCCAAUGAUUCCGAAGCUACCGCCCUGAUAUCCAGCAAAAGCCAAGCAGCCAUGCCUGAGGAUCCCAGAUGUGUCGAGAUCCAGUGUGACUCCAUCGAAGUGCAGCGCUACUUUGGGGACUGAUAUGGUCUCGUAGCCGCUGAAGUCAUAACAGGUAUCGAGUACUCGCGUAGGAGGCGCAGCAGGGUACUGGGACAUGUAGCUCCGGAACGCAGACCUCAGGGCUCCGUAGGCCGACGCCGGGAGGCGAGUGAUGGUAGUGCCGGAGUCGAUGAUCGUGCCACGGGACGAGAAAACCGAUGGCGAAAUGGCCAGUUGCUGCCCACCGACGCUGAUUCCGAUCAGGUCAACGAAGUAAAAGCUUGGAUGAUUGGAGCUGGUCUGCAUUCGAGUGUAAACGGUGUUGGAGGCAUCACCAGGUUCGCCCAGUUUCAGGAACCCGGUGGAGCUGGGAGUCGAAGGAAGGCAGUAGGAGAAGACCGAGUGGUAAACUUGCGACGUUUGGGACACCAGAGAGCGCUUGCCGCGGCCGAGACCCACGAGCCCUGCGGUGUCUUGGAACAGCCCUUCGUUGUCGGUGCCGCACCCGAAGAGGAAGUCCUCGAUCACGUCGUUUGGCGACAGCGUCAGUCUGUCGUAGCUGUAGACUCCUGAAGUGGUCGACCCAUCGCCGUAGGUGAUGCCAUAAGCGCAAGAGCUGGAGCAGCUGCUUCGGAGCUGACUGCAGUCCUGCGAGUUGCAAGGGAUCGCGGUGUAGGAGGAUGAUUGGGAUGGGUCAAAGAUCGGCUCCUGCUGCGAGUAGCACGCGGAGCAUGGUUUGCAUUGGAUCCAACUCAGGUCGCUCCCGGUGUCCAUCGUCACAGUCUGCUCUCGGCUGGGGGUGCCAUAGCCGACUGUGAUCACGUACUCCCCUCCUCCGUACUCCGCGGGGAUGCUUGCCUUGGAAUCAUCGACCUGUGGCUUGGCGGAAGACUUCAAGGCACUUCGCCGGAGAUAGUUGACUCUAAGUUGGUCUUUCAGAAGAAUCUCUUCUAGCGAUAGCAGUUUCUUGUCGUCGAAGGGGGAGCAGGGUCCAUGCCGAUGCACCAACGGGAAGGCGGUGAAGUUAGAUCCUGAGAAAGGCGAAACUAUCUUUUAAGGAAACUGUAUCAAAUGGUUUCAGCAAUUCAUGGGUAGCGGAGUAUGAGAUCUGCAGCCCAAAGAAAAGAUUGAUGCAAGAGAGCAACUGAGGUAUGACUGACCCUUGGACGAGGAGCAGACAACUUCGGGACUAGAAUUAUGAUUUCGAACCACGUGGUAGCUCUGAGCGUCUUCUCCGUUAGCAAGGGAAGAACAGUGACUCAGGAACAGAACAGAAGAGCAGAUUAAGAGAGCAGCCGAAGCCAUUUGCUGGGAAGAGACAAGCCCUGGGCGAAGGAUUGCAAUGGCAAUGCAUCCAAUUUAUAGAGACUUCAAAACCACUUUCUUUGUUCCACCAGAUUGGCCUCUGAUUUGAGUCAAGUAUGUCGACUAGUCGUUGACUUCAUAUUGACUGGCAUCGUCAAGUUCUUCCACACAAUCACGGAGCAAUUUAGGCUUAGUUUCGCAUUCCCACUGCAAAAUCCACGAAAUAAUUUGGUUUACGUCACAACGAUGAGAUCUAAAGGAAGACUUCGAACAGUUCAAAGUCGAAUAAUUAGAGCCACAACUCGAGUGCAAGACCGGAGAGAAGACUUUCAACAGUUCAACAUCUUGGUGUGAUUUCUUCACCGACCAAUCCUGACCGGCUCAUAAAUCGUCAACUAAUAACAACAACAACUAAAUGCUUCCUUAUGGCUGUUCUACGAGUCACCCAGGCGAGUGGAUCGGGAGCUAUUCGAGAGGGAAUUACACGGUAUACUUCCAUGUCCGCACGAACCAAAGUGCGCAAGAACAUGGACUCGUACUUCUGAAACCUGCAAUGAUAGAUCGAUAGCUCCGAUACUGUAUGUGAUGAACGGAUUGCACUAUGAGAAUAACUUCAGCUGGUCUGGUGUUGAAUCAAUGGUUGACAGCAGCAGAGGCUAAUCAAAAGAAGAAGACGAAGAGGAGGUACAGGCAGGGUAGGUGGCCGUGAAAGAGACACACUCCCAAAUGAUUGCGAAGGACAAGCUACUCCAAGUGACAUUAAAGAACUCGGCAACCAUGGCGUUUUCCAAUUAAUCAUGGACCAAUUUAGCUUUAUUUGGAGAGUAAAAUAGGAUGGAAAGUUAUCAGACUUGUAGAUCUUUAUGCAGACUAGAUGAGUUUAUUAUUAGUAACAUAUAUUUUCUACUCAUAUUAAGAUCUAUCAAAGUUGCAGAUGAUGUGAUUUAUAAGGAAAACAAUAUCACAACAGUUAUCCCUUUUAUUAAAAUUAUCACAAGUACAAGUUUGAAUUAUGAAUUAGACAUGAAUUUGCUAUUAGAUUUAAGCUUCCCAUACAUUUUCUGUUAUUUUUUUUUUAUCAAAUAUACUUUUCCUAUGAUUAAGAAUAAUCUACAGUAAAUUAAAUUAAAUGUGCCUCGAACAUCUAAUUAUAGAAUUAUAGCACGUCAGUCACAUCCCCUAGCUUUUCUCCAUCGUCUUCCUCCUUUCGAUGUGAUGACUAAAUAGGCAAUCGUUCAUUACACAAUAAAUUGUGGGUUGGAUUCGUCGUGGAAGGACCCUCGUGAUUUUUUAUUAUAUACGAAGAAAAAUACUGUUAGAUUAAUUAAUCUGAGCUCUAACUUAUACUUCCAAAACAUAAUUCCAAACACAUAAUUAACGAAGAAAAGAGACACACGUACAGAAGAAAAGGGAGGUGGAUGCUGAAAUAGAACGAUAGACAAUUCUGGUGAAGGUAAUAGAGGUUGACUGCCAGCUGCAGGUGCAUGCUAUAUAUCCUUAUUCCUCAUGCUAUUGAUUUAUUUAUAUUUAUAUAUAUGCAUGAGGUGAUACUGAUCAGCUGCAAGCGUGCGGCGCGAAUCCAAUUCUCUCAUUUCCUACAUCGUAGACUACUUCAAAUGUUCGCUGCUGCACAUUGCCAAUGAUCCCCAAGCGAUCAACUUGCUUACCAGAAAAUGCCAAGCAGUCAUGCCUGAGGAUCCCAGAUACGUUGAGAUCCAGUGUGACUCCAUCGAAGUGCAGCGCUACUUUGGGGACUGUUAUGGUCUUGUAGCCACUGAAGUCAUAACAGGUAUCAAGCAGUCCGUUAGUAGGCUUAAGAGGGUACGCCGACAUGUGCUCCCGGAACGCCGACCUCAGGGCCUCGUAGGCCGACGGCGGGAGGCGAGUGAUCGUAGUGCCGGAGUCCAAUAUCGUGCCACCGGACCUAAAAACCGAUGGCGAAAUGGCGAGCUGCUCCCCGGCCACGCUGAUUCCGAUCAGGUCAACGAAGUAAAAGCUUGGAUACUUGGAGCUGGUCUGCAUUCGAGUGUAAACGGUGUUGGAGGCGUCACUAGGUUCGCCCAGUUUUAGGAACCCCAUGUUGCUGGAAGUCGAAGGAAGGCAGUAGGAGAAGACCGAGUGGUAAAGUUGCGACGUCUGAGACACAAGCGACUGCUUGCCACGGCCGAGACCCACGAGCCCUGCGGCGUCGUGGAACAGCCCUUCGUUGUCGGUGCCGCACCCGAAGAGGAAGUGCUCGAUCACGUCGUUUGGCGACAGCGUCAGUCUGUCGUAGCUGUAGACUCCUGAACUGUUCGACCCAUCGCCGUAGGGGAUGAAAUAAGCGCAAGAGCUGGAGCAGCUGCCUCGGGGCUGACUGCAUUCCGACGAGUUGCAAGGGAUCGCGGCGUAGGAGGAUGAUUGGGAUGGGUCAAAGAUCGGCUCCUGCUGCGAGUAGCAUUUGUUGCAUGGUUUGCAUUGGAUCCAACUCAGGUCGCUCCCGGUGUCCAUCGUCACAGUCUGCUCUCGGCUGGGGGUGCCAUAGCCGACGGUGAUCACGUACUCCCCUCCUCCGAACUCCGCGGGGAUGCUUGCCAAGGAAUCAUUGAGCUGUGACUUCACGACACCCUUUAGGAGAUAAUUUACUCGAAGUUGGUCUUUAAGAAGGAUUUGUUCAGGUGAUGGCAGUUCCUUUGUCUCGAAGGGGGAGCAGGGUCCAUAUCGACUGACCAACCGUAUAGAGGUAACGUUGGAUCCUGAGAACCAUGCAUGCAUGCAUGGAAGUAUAUAUCACCACCAAUAGUCAGUAUUAAUUUUUUGUCUUUUAAGUAAUUUUACGUCAAACAAGUGCAGCAAUUUAUAAGUACAACUUCCAUCUGCUUGCUCGGUAACAUCGUGCUUCCAAUUUACAGCUUAAAGAGAUAGAGAAGGAAGUCUUAGUUAAAACUACAGAUGAUACUUUAUAACAGCAGCGCAAAUAAAACACCAAAAGUAAGAGGCAGCCGAUGUAUGAUUAACCUUUGAGCGGGGAGCAGACUGCUCCGGGAUUCAAAGAACGUCUUUGAACCUUAUGGUAGCUCUGUACUUCUCCAUUGGCAAGGUGAGAACGGUAGCUUAGGAGCAGAAACAGAACACAAGAGCUGGUUAGGAGGGCAGCUGAAGCCAUUAGUUAGCUGGGGAGAUACAAGUCUUGUGCGUAGGAGCUCUGGCUAUGCAUCCAAUUUAUAGAGAACCUUCAAUGCUACCUUCUCUCCUUGAAUCUUCAAAGCGAUGCUUUUGGUUUGGCCUCUGAUUACCACAUGCGAAAUUGAUUUAGAAGGCUGUGGACUAGUCGUUGACGUAGGACCCACUGGCUUAGUCAAGGUCAGAUUGUCCGAUCUUCGCGGAGUCACAUAAAUUUUAUCUCGUAUCCCCGUCGACGUGUGGAAGAUCCAUGGAAAUGAUAAGAUCUCCAGUCAGCUACCAGUCCGAAGCGAUGACUUGCAACGAUCCAAGGUCUUCACGUGGUGAUUUCUUCGGUUACCAGGUCCGAUGUAUCUGCCAGUAAUUAAUUCGUGGACUCAUGGCAUCCGACUGGAGUUAAUUGACAGCAAUCAUAUGGCAUGAUUCGACGUCCACAGGAUCAUUUUCCACUGUGGCUCAUGCGGAACCAGAUUGCAAAGAACAUGUCAUACCUCAGAGCUACUUCGGUCCUCCAACUACUAUGAGAAGAACUUUAGCUGGUUCACUGAUAUGAUAAGUUCUAGGCGCUGAAACAGUUGUGGGCUUAAGGAACCGACACAGGCGAUGUGAUAUUGCUGCACUUCUCUUGUUGGCCAUGUCGGAGGGUAAGGAAAAGAAGAAGAUGAGGAGGAGGAGGAGGAGGAGGAAGCAGGGUAAGACAGGGACGGCGAGGUGGCGAUUUACGAGACAGUCAAGAACUGGAUGAUUGCACCGGACAAAGUACGUCUAUAUCAUAACAGCUAAGAAACAAUGACAUGCGUUCUCGGAUUAAUUAUGGACCAUAUUAUUGAGCAAUAUCUUCUUUUGUUUCGUUUAUCAUCUUUUGCGCUUGACUAUAUCUGUGCAUUACUGAUAGCAAAUGGCCGAAAGCUGCCUGUAUUUAUAUUUCUUUCUUUUUUCGCGUUAGAUAAGGCUCAGGUACAGAAGCUAUGAAGACAAAGGGAAGGAAAAGACUGGUCACAACAAUUCGGUAAUGUAAUGUUUUUGAUAAGAAUACAAGCGAAUAGAUAUGUGUUACGUAUCGGAUUAAGCGUAUCAAAUCGAAUGAUAGAAAUCAAUAAUUUAGUUCAAACCAGCAUCAGACUGUAUAAAAAAAAAAAAGUAAUUUUUUUGAAAAAAAUUCUUCUUUUUUUUUCUGAAAAGGGAUCUCUGUUUUACUUUUUCACAAAAUGAGACUCCCUAAUUCAAAUAAUACUCAAAAUACUCACCGUCAUUGCUAAUGGUAUUUUUCUCAUCAAAUUUGUUUUGUCUAUUUUUUUAUUAGUUUCGAAUCAUUAUAGUGUUUUUAUUUGGCUCAUUUAUAAUAUUUUUCAAUAGCAUUACGGUAUUGUGAUGGUGGCAAUAAUUUUUACCCAUAUUUAGAUGAUGUUGUUAUUCAUAAAUUAUUAUUAUAGUACCUAUUUGAAUUCUAAUAUGAUAUAUUAAAUAAUUUUUAGUAUAUUUUGAUUUUAUUUGACUUGCUUAUAGUAUUUUUUUUACAACAUUAUAGGUUUUAUUAUGAUAUUAAGGAUAUUAUAAAGCUAUUGAAAAAUAUUGUAAGUAACUUCGUAUUAUGUCUCUUUGCUUAUCGUUGCUCAUAGAUUAUUACACUACCAAAUCAUGGAUGCUGAACACAUGCAUAUUUGGAGGUUUUCGAUACGCUGACGAACGAGAAAGAGCAAGGAAGAGGAGGAGGUGGUGGAGGCAACGGCGGCAGGAAAAGCAAGCAAGAGAAGCCAUUACGCUUGCAGAACUCGGUGAUCUGAGCUUGGAACGAGUGAAGGGAGUAGCUCUAAAUAGCUGUGCCUCUGCGCGUUCAAGUUUCAACGGGUGGUACAUCGCUUUCUCCCACUUGUCUUCCUCCUGUGGCCACUCGAGUCCUCUGUGGCGAUUACGUCAUGCGUCAUUGCGCAACAAAUAACGGGUUGGGUCAAGGAAGAGACCCUCGUGAUUCUUUAUGAGAUCCAAUCCACUCACGAGCAGAAAAGGAGGUGUGAUCACAUGCUGGAAGGCACUAAGAAUUAAGCCCGUAUAAUUGACUCCUGACUUGUUGUCAGACACUCUCGAGUCCCGUGGGAAGACCAUCCAAGAAGAGGCCUCAGCUUUGAAUUGGAAUCUUCUUUCUAACUUAGGCCGUGAAGCAAUGGCGACCAACCUUUGAGUUAUUCCAUAGACUAACAACUUUGUGGCUAUUUGUUUAGUAUUGGAUUAAUGGACUGAACUCAAUCGUUCCUCGCCCAAAAGAACCAUUGGCUAAUGUUACUUGAUAUGAAGGAUCCAAAGCAACCACCAAGAAAAGAAUGUCGAAAGAAGAACCACAAAGCAUUUGAGAACAAUCAUGAUCUCAAGGUGGCCUAUCACUUUCUUCUUCCUUCUUUCCUGCUAUUUCUUCUGAUAUAAUCAUGUGGAAAGACAUAAUAUAAUCCAUCUCUAAGCAGUGUGGCUCCCUGUGGAAAGACAUAAUCUAAUCCAUCUCUAAGCAGUGUGGCUCCCUGCGACAGGCUCUCUUACGUUCAUGCGUUUCUGGCUGACAUAAGUCUACGGAGACAUGAUGUUGCAGAGGUUGCAUAAUCCACCGCACCUCUCCAACAUUUCACAUGGCAAGCCCCGUUCCGUUUGUCAUGUCCUUGCUAAGCUUUUGGAAUGUUGCAGAAAACGAGCCAUGGGGUUCGUGCAAUGCUUCUCAAAUUGGAACAGUGGUGAGAAAUCUGCGGUGGCUCAGUCACUGUCGGUCGAUAGACCAUGAAAUGUUUGAAGGACUCGUAAUUCUUCCUGCAUGUGUUUAAUUUCUCCUCGGGAUAAGCCAAGCACUUGAAAAACCAUCUCCAAUGCAUAAGCUAGAUUAAGCAUCUCAUGUGGAGAUCAGGAUACCUGCAGUUUAAGGAGUGCUAAUAUCACAGACUAUACAAAUCACCCAGCUUGUGUACUAGACAUUGUCUUUCUUCUCCGAUGAGUGGUCAGACUUCCACUUCAAGUGUUGGAAGAUGUAGCCAGGGCACUUGCAAAUAACAAGUCGGGUGGUUCUUGAUGUGGAUGGUUGGAGAUGGCAUUCUCGAGGGUUGUCGAAGGAUGCAAUUUGCAUUUCGACAUGGAACAGUGAAGAUAAUGUGCUUCCUCUGGUUCAGUGGUGCCAGUGCCUCAGCUACUAGCUUUGUUGCUUGCUCAUGCCAAGAUAAGUGGGAGGAGUAGAAAAUUAGAACCAUUCAACAAAGGAGAUGAUUCUUGCAACACCACAUUUGAAGCAUGGUCAUCAUGCAUCAACCUGUGUAGUAGGUGGUGUUCUAACAUUUGCACCCCAAAAAGAAGGGUUUGACCAAUGUGCAUUGGCUGUUGCUUCAACCUCUGUUCAGAAGCAGAAAGUGUUGUGCUAGCCAUCAUUAUUAAAGAUUAUGGAUGGUAGCAUCAACCCUUUUUUGUCAGUUACAGAGAUGACUGAAUCACUAAUGCUCAGAGACUCCAGCAUGGCUGGCCAUAUGUCCAGCAAGAAAACUAUGGAGAUCAACCCAGAGAAUCCUAUCAUGGAGGAGUUGAGGAAGCGAGCAGAUGCUGACAAGAAUGACAAAUCAGUUAAGGACCUGACACUUCUGCUGUUUGAGACUGCUCUCCUCACCUCUGGUUUCUGCUUGAAUGACCCCAAUACUAUUGGCAACAGGAUCCACCGAAUGCUGAAAUUAGGUCUCAGCAUCGAUGAGGAUGAAAAGGUUGAAGACACUGACAUGCCUACGCUUGAGGAUGCUGCUGAUGCCGAAGAGAGUAAGAUGGAGGAAAUGGACUAAUCUGGAUCAAGUUGGCUUUCUGUAUUCUGCUGCUUCUCUUGCAAUUUUUUGGUGUGCUUUUCAUAUAUGCACUAACUAUGUAGACGGCCUUCAUCACCUUUUGCCAAAGAGAUCUUUAUAACUGUUGUCUAUGCAUGCAUGGAUAAUUCAUGUUCUAUGUUAACAAGUCUAUGGUUUGAAUGUCGAUUUAGCAUGGUUGACAUUUCAUUUUUAUAGUCCUGUCUUGUGGCAAGAAGCUGCAUGAAAACAGAAUCAUGUCUAAGUUUGUCUUGAUAGUAAAUGCCAUGUUCCAGAGUAAGAUUUUGCUUUCAUUAAUUCGAGUUCGAUCGAUCAUGGAGCAUUUGGUUAUCGGAGUUCUAGAUGUUUUGCUUUGAUCAUUAGCUACGCAAUGGAAGUCAUGUGUGAAUUGUGAUGAUAUAAAUAAGAAGCUGCUGAAGAAUGACUGCCAAAUUCAACUUUACGGACAAAAGAGACAGACAUACUGAUAAUAGAUUCGGAGGAACAGAAUCUAUACUAUGUGAACAUACUGACUCCGGGUGUCUUCAUUUUGUCACCCAUUGUUCUUAUUGAUGCAGAAAACAAAGAGCAGGUGGUUGCGUGGUGAAUCAAUCAGCUGCAAGCCUGCGGCACAAAUCCAAUCCUCUCGUUUCCUAGAUCAUAGACCACUUCAAACGUUUGCUGCUGCACGUUGCCGAUGAUACCGAACCUACCGCCCUUAUAUCCAGUAAAAGCCAAGCAGCCAUGCAUGAGGAUCCCAGAUAUGUCGAGAUCCAUUGUGACUCCAUCGAAGAGCAGCGCUACUUUCGGGACUGUUAUGGUCUCGUAGCCGCUGAAGUCAUAACAGGUAUCGAGUACUCGCGUAGGAGGCGCAGCGGGGUACUGGGACAUGUAGCACCGGAACGCAGACCUCAGUGCUCCGUAGGCCGACGCCGGGAGGCGAGUGAUGGUAGUGCCGGAGUCGAUGAUCGUGCCACGGGACGAGAAAACCGAUGGCGAAAUGUCCAGUUGCUGCCCACCGACACUGAUUCCGAUCAGGUCAAGGAAGUAAAAGCUUGGAUGAUUGGAGCUGGUCUGCAUUCGAGUGUAAACGGUGUUGGAGGCGUCACCAGGUUCGCCCAGUUUCAGGAACCCGGUGGAGCUGGGAGUCGAAGGAAGGCAGUAGGAGAAGACCGACUGGUAAACUUGCGACGUUUGAGACACCAGAGAGCGCUUGCCGCGGCCGAGGCCCACGAGCCCUGCGGCGUUGAGGAACAGCCUUUCGUUGUCUGUGCCGCACCCGAAGAGGAAGGGCUCGAUCACGUCGUUUGGCGACAGCGUCAGUCUGUCGUAGCUGUAGACUCCUGAACGUUUCGGCCCACUGCCGUAGUGGAUGACAUAAGUGCAAGAGCUGGAGCAGCUGCUUCGGAGCUGACUGCAGUCCGACGAGUUGCAAGGGAUCGCGGCGUAGGAGGAUGAUUGGGAUGGGUCAAAGAUCGGCUCCUUCUGCGAGUAGCAUACGUUGCGUGGUUUGCAUUUGAUCCAACUCAGGUCGCUUCCGGUGUCCAUUAUCACAGUCUGCUCUUGGCUGGGGGUGCCAUAGCCGACUGUAAUCACGUACCCCCCUCCUCCGUACUCCGCGGGGAUGCUUGCCUUGGAAUCAUCGACCUGUGGCUUGGCGGAAGGCUUCAAGGCACUUCGCCGGAGAUAGUUGACUCGAAGUUGGUCUUUCAGAAGAAUCUCUUCCAGCGAUAGCAGUUUCUUGUCGUCGAAGGGGGAGCAGGGUCCAUGCCGAUGCACCAACGGGAGGGCGGUAGCGUUAGAUCCUGAGAACGACGAAACUAUCUUUUAAGGAAACUGUAUCAAAUGGUUUCAGCAAUUCAUGGGUAGAAUUUCCAAUUUUCUACGGAGUAUGAGAUCUGCAACCCAAAGAAAAGUUUGAUGCAAGAGAGCAGCUGGGGUAUGACUGACCCUUGGAUGAGGAGCAGACAACUUCGGGACUCGAAUUAUGAUUUCGAACCACGUGGUAGCUCUGAGCGUCUUCUCCGCUAGCAAGGGAAGAACAGUGACUCAGGAACAGAACAGAAGAGCCGAUUAAGAGAGCAGCCGAAGCCAUUUGCUGGGAAGAUACAAGCCCUGGCCGCAGGAUAGCUAUGGCAAUGCAUCCAAUUUAUAGAGACUUCGAAACCACUUUCUUUGUGCUACCACAUUGGCCUCUGAUUUGAGUCAAGUAUGUGGACUAGUCGUUGACUUCGAAUUGACUGGCAUCGUCAAGUUCUUCCACACAAUCACGGACCAAUUUAUGCUUAGUUUCGCAAUCCCACUGCAAAAUCCACGAAAUAAUUUGGUUUACGACACAACGAUGAGUUCGAAAGGAAGAGUUUUGACAGUUCAAAGUCGAAUGAUUAGAGCCACAACUCGAGUGCAACAUAAAUCCUGACUGGCUCAUAAAUCGUCAACUAAUAACAACCACAACUAAAUGCUUCCUUAUGGGUGUUCUACGAGUCACCCAGGCGAGUGGAUCGGGAGCUAAUCGAGAGGGAAUUACACAGUAUACUUCCAUGUCCGCACGAACCAAAGUGCGCAAGAACAUGGACUCGUACUUCUGAAACCUGCAAUGAUAGAUCGAUAGCUCCGAUACUGUAUGUGAUGAACGGAUUGCACUAUGAGAAUAACUUCAGCUGGUCUGGUGUUGAAUCAAUGGUUGGCAGCAGCAGAGGCUAAUCAAAAGAAGAAGACGAAGAGGAGGUACAGGCAGGGGAGGUGGCCAUGAAAGAGACACACUCCCAAAUGAUUGCGAAGGACAAGCUACUCCAAGUGACAUUAAACUACUCGGCAACAAUGGCGUUUUCCAAUUAAUCAUGGACCAAUUUAGCUUUAUUUGGAGAGUAAAAUAGGAUGGAAAGUUAUCAGACUUUGUAGAUCUUUAUGCAGACUAGAAGAGUUUAUUAUUAGUAACAUAUAUUUUCUACGCAUGUUAAGAUCUAUAAAGUUGCAGAUGGUGUGAUUUAUAAUGAAAACAAUAUCACAACAGUUAUCCCUUUUAUUAAAAUUAUCACAAGUACAAGUUUGAAUUAUGAAUUAGACAUGAAUUUGCUAUUAGAUUUAAGCUUCCCAUACAUUUUAUGUUAUUAUUUGUUUUUUUGAUCAAAUAUACUUUUCUUAUGAUUAAGAAUAAUCUACAGUAAAUUAAAUUAUAUGUGCCUUCAACAGCUAGUUAUAGAAUUAUAGCAUUUCACUCACAUCCUCUAGCUUUUCUCUAUCGUCUUCCUCCUUUCGAUGUGGUGACUAAAUAGACCAUCCUUCAGAAGGACCCUCGUGAUUCUUUAUUAUAUACGAAGAAAAAUGUUGUUAGAUUAAUUAAUCUGAGCUCUAGCUUAUACUUCCAAAACAUAAUGCCAAACACAUAAUUAACCAAGAAAAGAGGCACACGUACAGAAGAACCAGAAUGGUGUAUCACAGAUAACAGUUUACUGAAAUAGAAGCAGGGAGGUGGAUGCUGAAAUAGAACGGUAGACAAUUCUGGUGAAGGUAAUAGAGGCUGACUGCCAGCUGCAGGUGCAUGCUAUAUAUCCUUAUGCCUCAUGCUAUUUAUUUAUUUAUUUAUAUUUAUAUAUAUGCAUGAGGUGAUACUGAUCAGCUGCAAGCGUUCGGCGCGAAUCCAAUUCUCUCAUUUCCUACAUCGUAGACUACUUCAUAUGUUCGCUGCUGCACAUUGCCAAUGAUCCCCAAGCCACCAACUUGAUUAGCAGAAAAUGCCAAGCAGUCAUGGAAGAGGAUCCCAGACGAGUCGACGUCCAGGGUGAUUCCAUCACCAAAUUGCAGUGCUAUGCUGGGAACUGUUAUGGUCUCGUAGCCGCUCAAGUCAUAGCAGGUAUCAAGCAGUCCAUUAGUAGGCUUAAGAGGGUACGCCGACAUGUGCUCCCGGAACGCCGACCUCAGGGCCUCGUAGGCCGACGGCGGGAGGCGAGUGAUCGUAGUGCCGGAGUCCAAGAACGUGCCACCGGACCUAAAAACCGAUGGCGAAAUGGCCAGCUGCUCCCCGGCCACGCUGAUUCCGAUCAGGUCAACGAAGUAGUAGCUUGGAUCAUUGGAGCUGGUCAGCAUUCCAGUGUAAACGGUGUUGGAGGCGUCACCAGUUUCGCCCAGUUUUAGGAACCCCGUGUUGCUGGAAGUCGAAGGAAGGCAGUAGGAGAAGACCGAGUGGUAAAGUUGCGACGUCUGAGACACAAGAGACUGCUUGUCACGGCCGAGACCCACGAGCCCUGCGGCGUCGUGGAACAGCACUUCGUUGUCGGUGCCGCACCCAAAGAUGAAGUCCUCGAUCACGUCGUUUGGCGACAGCGUUAGUCUGUCGUAGCUGUAGACUCCUGAACUGUUCGACCCAUCGCCGUAGGGGAUGAAAUAAGCGCAAGAGCUGGAGCAGCUGCUUGGGAGCUGACUGCAGUCCGACGAGUUGCAAGGGAUCGCGGCGUAGGAGGAUGAUUGGGAUGGGUCAAAGAUCGGCUCCUUCUGCGAGUAGCAUACGUUGCAUGGUUGGCAUUGGAUCCAACUCAGGUCGCUUCCGGUGUCCAUUAUCACAGUCUGCUCUCGGCUGGGGGUGCCAUAGCCGACGGUGAUCACGUACUCCCCUCCUUGGAGCUCCGCGGGGAUGCUUGCCAUGGAAUCAUUGAGCUGUGACUUCACGACACCCUUUAGGAGAUAAUUUACUCGAAGUUGGUCUUUAAGAAGGAUUUGUUCAAGUGAUGGCAGUUCCUUUGUCUCGAAGGGGGAGCAGGGUCCAUACCGACUGACCAACCGUAGAGAGGGAACGUUGGAUCUGAGAACCAUGCAUGCAUGCAUGGAAGUAUAUAUCACCACCAAUAGUCAGUAUUAUUUUUUUGUCUUUUAAGUAAAUUUACGUCAAACAAGUGCAGCAAUUUAUGAGUACAACUUCCAUCUGCUUGCUCAGUAACAUCGUGCGUCCAAUUUACAGCUUAAAGAGAUAGAGAAGGAAGACUUAGUUAAAACUACAGAUGAUACUUUAUAACAGGUACGAGAUCUGCAGCGCAAAUAAAACACCAAAAGUAGGAGGCAGCUGAUGUAUGAUUAACCUUUGAGCGGGGAGCAGACUGCUCCGGGAUUCAAAGAACGUCUUUGAACCUUAUGGUAGCUCUGUACUUCUCCAUUGGCAAGGUGAGAACUGUAGCUUAGGAGCAGAAACAGAACACAAGAGCUGGUUAGGAGGGCAGCUGAAGCCAUUAGUUAGCUGGGGAGAUACAAGUCUUGUGCGUAGGAGCUCUGGCAAUGCAUCCAAUUUAUAGAGAACCUUCAGUACUACCUUCUCUCCUUUGAAUCUUCAAAGCGAUGCUAAUGGUUUGGCCUCUGAUUACCACAUGCGAAAUUGAUUUAGAAGGCUGUGGACUAGUCGUUGACGUAGGACCCACUGGCUUAUUCAAGGUCAGAUUGUCCGAUCUUCGCGGAGUCACAUAAAUCUUAUCGCGUAUCCCCGUCGAGGUGUGGAAGAUCCGUGUACAUUAUCAGAUCUCCAAUCGGCUACCAGUCCGAAGCGAGAUGUCCAUAGGAUCCUCUUCCACUGUGGCUCUUGCGGAACCAGAUUGCAAAGAACAUGUCAUAUCUCAGAGUUACUUUUGUACUUCAACCACUAUGAGAAUAACUUUGGCCGAUUCACUGAUAUGAUUGUUAAGUUCUAGGCGUUGAAGCUGUGGUGGGCUUAAGGAAUCAACACAGGCAAUUUGAUAUUACUGCACUUCUCUUGUUGGCAGUAUCGGACGGUAAGGAAAAGAAGAAGAUGAGGAGGAGGAGGAAGCCGGGUAAGACACGGACGGCGAGGUGGCCAUGAACGAGACAUUCAAGAACUUAUUUAUUGCACAAGACAAGGUACGUCUAUGUCAUUAUCAACUAAGGAACGAUGAAAUGAGUUCUCGGAUCAAUUAUGGACCAUAUUAUUGGGCAAUAUCUUCUUUUGCUUCAUUUAUUAUCUGUGCAAUAUUGAUAGCAAAUGGACGAAAGCCGCCUGUAUUUAUAUUUCUGUAUUUUUUCGCGUUAGAUAAGGUUAGGUACAGAAGCUCUGUAGACUUAAGGGAAGGAAAAAACUACUCACAACAAUUUGGUAAUGUAAUGUUUUUGAUAAAUAUAUAAAUGAAUUAGAUAAAUAUAUAAAUAUAUAUAUGUUAAAUAUAUAAUUCAAACCAGCAUCAGACUGUACAAAAAAAGGAGUAAUUUUUCAAAAAAAAAUCUUUUUUUUAAAAAGAAAGGAAUCCAUGUUUUACUUUUUCCCAAAAUGAUGCUCCCUAAAUGGAAUAAUACUCAAAAUACUCAUCAUCAACGCUAAUGGUAUUUUUUUAUCAGUUUUGAACCAUUAUAGUGUUUUUAUUUGGCUCAUUUAUAAUAUUUUUCAAUAACAUUACGGUAUUGUGAUGGUCGCAAUAAUUUUUAUCCAUAUUUAGAUGAUGUUAUUCUUAAAUUAUUAUAGUACCUAUUUGAAUUCUAAUAUGAUAUAUUAAAUAAUUUUUAGUAUAUUUUGAUUUUAUUUGACUUGCUUAUAGUAUUUUUUUUAAUAACAUUAUAGGUUUUAUUAUGAUAUUAAAGAUAUUAUAAAGCUAUUGAAAAAUAUUGUAAGUAACUUCGUAUUAUGUCUCUUUGCUUAUCAUUGCUCAUAGACUAUUACACUAGGAAAUUUUUAGGUUUAAGGUUGGUUUAGCUAAUGUUAUGAUUUCAUUUGUAUUAUAUACUAUUUAUACUAUUUCUAAGUCGAUUUUAUAGUAUUUUUUUAUGGUGACAAAAUAUUAUAGUAAGUCAAAACACUAUAUAUAAUGGAUGAGAAAAAUAUUUUUAUGGUUGAUGAGAGAUAUUUUGGAUAUUAUUUAUAAUGAGAGACCAAUCAAAAAAAUAAUAUUUUUUGAAAAAAAAUAAAAAAGACUUUCUCAAGAAAAUCAUUAAAAAAAAUCUUCUAGAAGGAAUUUGACACGACCAAUCGAUGCUUUGACCGUUGCUUUGUUAACCUUUCACAGUUACUUUUAUUCUGUCGUUCGUCCUUUAAUCAUUCCAUUUGUUUGCUACUGUCGAAUGACUGACUGAUGAUUUCAGCUGCAAGCUUUGGCCCCAAAUCCAAUCUUCCUCUUGGAGACGUCAUACACCACGUUGUACGUUCUCUGCUGCACGUUGGCAAUGAUGGCCGGGUCGUCGGCGUUGUCGUUUCCAGCGAAGGCCAGGCAAGCCUGCGACACGCUCGCCACGUAAAGAAUCCCGGUGAAGUCGACGCUAAGCGUAGCCCCGCCGCUGAACACGAGCGCCACAGUCGGCACCGACACCGUCGUGUACCCCGUGAAGUCGUAGCACGUGUCCAGUAUCGACAACGCCGGCGCGGGCGGGUACUGUGUCAUCUUCUGCUUGAACGCCGACCGCAGGACGGCGUAUGCCGACGGUGGCAGCCGCGUGAUCACCGUGCCGGAGUCCAUCAGCGUCCUAGCGGUCGAGAACACCAUCCUCGAGAUGGGCAGCUGUUUGCCGCCCACCUUGAUGGCUAUCAACCUCACGAAGUAGAACGAUGGCAUUUCCGGCACCGUCAGCAUGGGCGUGUACUUGGUGCUCGACCGCGAGCCACGGCCGAUGGUUAGAUAGCCGGUCGAGCUCGACGUCGAGGGCAGGCAGUAGGAGAACACCGCGCCGUACUUCCGCGACGCCUGCGACACCAACGACACGCUUCCACGGCCGAGGCCGAGGAGCCCGGCGGCCCUGCCGAACAGCCCGCUGUUGGUGUCGCCGCAGCCGAACUUGAAGCCGGGCAGCACGUCGGACGGCGACAACGAGAGAGUGUCGCGGCCAAAGGUGCCCUGCGUCUGCGACUUGUCGCCGUACUGGACGUCGUAGCGGCAGGUGGACGCGUUGGAGCAGCUGUGCGAGUCGAGCCGGCCGCAGUCGGCGGAGUUGCAGGCCAGAGUGGCGUACGUGGAGGACUGGGCCGGGUCGAACACCGGCUCCUGCUGCGCGUAGCAGUCGUUGCAUGGCUUGCACUGGAUCCACGUCACAUCGCUGCCGGUGUCGAAGACGACGGAGAAGUCCAUGAGGGGGGUGCCGAAGCCGACCGUGACCACGUAGUUGCCGGUGCCGAGGGAGCCGCCGGUGCGGGCGGGGAUCCUUGCCGCCGACGAGCUGCGCAGCUUGUCGACCUGAGCAGCAGCAGAGGCCCGGACAUGGAGCGAGUCGACUCGGGCUUGGUCGGCGUCGAGAAGUCGGGCAUGGGGCAGCUUCCGACCUUCGUCAAACGGCGAGCACGGACCGUGCCGAUGGACUACCUUCAACUUGGACGGAUCAGAAGCUGCGGAAUUGGAAAUUACGGAAAGAUUCAUUUAGCAUCAGGGGAUUGGAAUCAUUCAUAAACAAUGGUUGAUAUUAGAAUGAAGGAUAUACUAAGUUCAUGGUGGAAACAAUCUGUUGGUGGACUGGGAGAUGAAUUUUCCUGGCUUGUUCUCUGUGACUCAACUUUGAAUCAUUAUCAAUCCAAACUACAAUGAUUUGAGCUCGAUCGAAACUAUUAUAUGAUGGAUAAGACACUGCUGCUGUCCUUGGUUGGUCACCAAUCGCUCUCCUCUGUUGACCUACCUCUUUAAACAAGCAUCGUGUGCAGGAAGACAUCCUAAACCUGCACAGGCCAUCUUGACUUCUGCAUAGCUUUUCGGUGGUAUACACGUUGUUUUCUGCAUGUACACUAUGCUAUAUACAUACAUACAUAUAUAUAUGUAUAACACUCGAAAUUCUAUAUAUAUGGAAAGAAAAUUGUCUCAACCUUCUGGGGAAGAGCACGAAGACUUGGGUAGCAAAUCAUGGAUGCUGAACACAUGCAUAUUUGGAGGUUUUCCAUACGCUGACGAACGAGAAAGAGCAAGGAAGAGGAGGAGGAGGAGGUGGUGGAGGCAACGGCGGCAGGAAGAGCAAGCAAGAGAAGCCAUUACGCUCGCAGAACUCGGUGAUCUAAGCUUGGAACGAGUGAAGGGAGUAGCUCUAAAUAGCUGUGCCUCUGCGCGUUCAAGUUUCAACGGGUGGUACAUCGCUUUCUCCAACUUGUCUUCCUCCUGUGGCCAUUCGAGUCCUCUGUGGCGAUUAGGUCAUGCGUCAUUGCGCAACAAAUUACGGGUUGGGUCAAGGAAAAGACCCUCGUGAUUCUUUAUGAGAUUCAAUCCACUCACGAGCAGAAAAGGAGGUGUGAUCACAAGCUGGAAGGCACUAUGAAUGAAGCCCGUAUAAUUGACUCCUGACUUGUUGUCCGACACUCUCGAGUCCCGUGGGAAGACCAUCCAAGAAGAGUCCUCAGCUCUGAAUUGGAAUCUUCUUUCUAACUUAGGCCGUGAAGCAAUGGCGACCAACUUUUGAGCUAUUCCAUAGACUAACAACUUUAUUGCUAUUUGUUUAGUAUUGGAUUAAUGAACUGAACUCUAUCGUUCCUCGCCCAAAAGAACCAUUGGCUAAUGUUACUUGAUAUGAAGGAUCUAAAGCAACCACCAAAAAAAGAAUGUCGAAAGAAGAACCACAAAGCAUUCGAGAACAAUCAUGAUCUCAAGGUGGCCUAUCGCUUUCUUCUUCCUUCCUUCCUGCUAUUUCUUCUGAUAUAAUCAUGUGGAAAGACAUAAUCUAAUCCAUCUCUAAGCAGUGUGGCUCCCUGCGACAGGCUCUCUUACGUUCAUGCGUUUGUGGCUGACAUAAGUCUACGGAGACAUGAUGUUGCAGAAGUUGCAUAAUCCACCGCACCUCUGUUCAGUUUGUCAUGUCCUUGCUAAGCUUUUGGAAUGUUGCAGAAAACGAGCCAUGGGGUUCAUGUAAUGCUUCUCAAAUGGGAACAGUGGUGAGAAAUCUGCGGUGGCACAGUCACUGUCGGUCGAUAGACCAUGAGACAUGGUCGAAGGACUUGUAAUUCUUCCUGCAUGUGUUUCAUUUCUCCUCGGGUUAAGCCAAGCACUCGAAAAACCAUCUCCACUGCAUAAGCUAGAUUAAGCAUCUUAUGUGGAGAUCAGGAUACCUGCAGUUUAAGGAGUGCUAAUCUCACAGACUAUGCUCAGAUGGACUACAAAUCACCCAGCUUGUGUUCUAGACAAUGUCUUUUGAGUUAUUGUGGUCAGACUUCCACUUCAAGUGUUGGAAGAUGUAGCCAGGGCACUUGCAAAUAACAAGUCGGGUGGUUCUUGAUGUGCCUGGUUGGAGAUGGCAUUCUCGAGGGUUGUUGAAGGAUGCAAUUUGCAUUUCGACUUGGAACAGUGAAGAUAAUGUGCUUCCUCUGGUUCAGUGGUGCCAGUGCCUCAGCCACUAGCUUUGUUGCUUGCUCAUGCCAAGAUAAGUGGGAGGAGUAGAAAAUUAGAACCAUUCAACAAAGGAGAUGAUUCUUGCAGCACCACAUUUGAAGCAUGGUCAUCAUGCAUCAACCUGCGUAGUAGGUGGUGUUCUAAGAUUUGCACCCAAAAAAGAAGGGUUUGACCAAUGUGCAUUGGCUGUUGCUUCAACCUCUGUUCAGAAGCAGAAAGUGUUGUGCUAGCCAUUAUUAUGAAAGAUUAUGGAUGGUAGCAUCAGCCCUUUUUUUGUCAGUUACAGAGAUGACUGAAUCACUAAUGCCCAUUUCAUAUCAGCUUUGAGCAUGAAACUAAAAUUAGCUUGAGGAUUCAAUAUUAUGUGCCCCAGAGGCAUCUUGUAAAAAAGAGGGAACAUUAAAAUGACAUAACUUUACAUGGUUACAUAUUCAUAGAAAUAAUUUGAACAAAUAUGCAAUAGACAAAAAAAAAUUAGCAAAAUAUUCUUACUUGUUUUUUUGUUCAUGGAUAACUUGAACAAGGCAGCAGUUCUGAUCAAUUUAGUCCCAGAAAAAGAGAAAUAGUUGCUUUGUAUACCUAAUAGCCUUUAGUCCACAAACAAAAAGCUAUAUGAAUAUGCAAAAUACUCCAGUUUAUAACUAGUUUCUGACAUCCCAGUUUGGUCCAAUUUUUCUGCUUUUGUUCCCUCUGCAAUAAGCAAUAGGUCCAUCUUAACAGGUGCAACAUCUGGUGCUUGCUAGCAGAACACUGCAGAGGGAAGUACCACAUAUUUGAAUUACUUGUGGAAUUGUCUCAGCUUGACACAGAUAUUGCCUAGAAUUAAGAUCAAUGAACCAUCUGAAAGGUAAGCAAUUGCUUAUGGUAAAGGACAUCUAUUUGAUUGCUCAUGUUAAAAUACAUCGAUUUACAGCAUCUGACCAUGAUCUUACCAGGAUCAGCACAUGAAAAAUGACCACUGAAAAAGGAGAAAAAAAGGAUCUCCCUGAUUGUCCACUUGAGGAAGUCGGAUACAGAACAAAAUUCAUAUCAACCCUGAGAAAGGGUAGAAACAUAAGGACAGCUUGCAAAUAGUGGUCUGUGAUAUGCUGGACUAUUAUUUUUUAAACUCGAUCAUCUAAAAAUAUGUAAGUUCCGUUCAAUUUCCUACAAAAAGUUAAGUUCAAACCAUCAAUGUGGAUCCUUGCUUGCCUCUCAUAGUACAAGCCUGCCAAGAAGCGGAUUAUCCUUUCAAGGGGCCCAUGGCUUUUACGAUAGUAUCUAUUGAUAUUUAGUUCCUAAAAUGCCUGAUAGAAGUCCCCAUUCAGUACAUGAGGUUGCAUUAAUUGGAUCAAUAGUCACGUAGCGGCCAAUCCGGCAGCAGGUGCUAUUCAUUAAGUAUUGUAACCUGUCAAGCCUCUGAACUUAAUCUUAAUUGCCAUCGGUUUUGGUUUUACUAUUCCACUAGGAGCAGCUGGCUCAAAGUUGACUAUGUCUGGUUGCUGCUUAAGAGAAUCCACUUGGUUGAUCUUUCUGUAUGGUUUUUUCCUUUUGUAUGUUAUAGGAGGAGAUAGGAGACAUUUUUCAGCUCCUGAAUGUGUCACAUUUGUUGCAUCAUCUUUACUCCCAUCCUCCAAAUGAUCAGAAGGUUUUGUCAAAAUGUCAUGUUUGUCAGUACAGUUAUCUGCGGUCCUUAAGCCUGCUUCGCAAAUAGCGUUCAGCCUCUUUUCUCGGUGUUUUUCAAAUGUAAGUGGGAAAGUUUCUAUCUUCGGAUCCGCAGAACUUUCAUAAAUCGAUCUAUUUUGCUGGGUGUUUGUAUUGUUCAAGAUCUUUUUGUCAUUGCGGUACUCCCCGAUCAGGUCAGCUUCACGAGGAAAAAUUCUUAAAUUCUGGUUAGCUAUUAAGGGAAACUGUUCUUUGCAUUUCCCUACAGCAUCUUGCCUCACAUCUGUAAUUAUCUUCAGCUUUCUUGGGAAUAUCUCAGAAUCCAUGAAUGUUUCAGCACCUGCGUAAAGAAGUUCUUUUUUUUGCACCGCCUCUUGAUUUCCAUAAGCAAUUCCAUCUCUGUCUAACUGAUGUAAAAUUGGCAACUUCUCAGUAAAAUCGAGCCCAUCCUUCUUAAAAACAAAUUGUGGACCUGAGGCUCUAGGAGCAUGAACACCCCAAAUGUUUGCAGAGAUUUGUUCUGAUUCUGUUCUUGGCUUUUUUGGAUUAAGAGAAUCAUACUUGGGCUUUAUUUUCAGAACACCUUUAGCUUUAGGCAGCUGCUUGGUUGGUUCUCCUGGUUUAUCGGGCAAUGGUUGGAGGGUCUGAUUUUGCACUAAGCCCGAAACAGAUGGCUUUAACUUCAGAACUCCCAUUGGUUUCCUUUUAGUGUUGCAGAGUAGACCAUUUAAUGGAAAUGAUGGGUCACAAUUUUCAUUUAUAUACUUGGCCUUCUUUGAGAAUGGUAAUGUUUUUUCAUUUCUUUCAACCAUCUUUAAGGUAUCUUCAUCUGGAAACACAUUCAAAUCGACCACGAAAACAGGUUUGUGCCCCUUGCUGCUGUUCCAAGUAAGAAUCCUUUCUUCAACACUGAUAUUGGAUCGGCAUCUACCCCAUAUCUUUUUCAUCUCCAUGAAUGUCUGAGCCAUAUUCUUGUGAUAUGAUCUUAACGUGUGAUAGUACUCACUUCUCUGUAAGAACUGUAGGCCUUCUCUCAAAUGAGUAACUUGUGGAGAAUAAAGUCCUCCCAUCAAUCCAUUAUAAAACUUCUCGAGCGGGCUUCCAAAGAACAUAUUAUCACCUGUAAGCAAUUCAUGUAUUGUAAGCCAAAAUGUUUCUUGGUCCAUAUCCGGAAGAAAAGCUACCAGAGAGAACCUUUCAUCUUCGGUUAAGUGGUAAUUCCAAGUUUCCAAAGAGAGUAUUCCGUUCAAAUCAGGAAGAUCAUAAAGCUCAUAUGGGAUACUGCACAUCUGACCUCCAAUCAUAAAAUAUUCACAACCCACCUCAGCAGCUUCAUGUUCAUCAUGAUCGUCACCGAAAAUCCUAUCUGAAAACAAUUUCUCCUCAUGCACAAAGCUUUGUUGCAAAUGAUGACUGUUUCCAGGCCCUUGUGGCCUUAUUUUUAUGAUGCCCAUUGUAUGAGGGGCAAAUUAGAGUAUGAAAAUGCCUGAAAAGCAGCCAACUCAAAGUUCAAAAUAACUUCAAUUUAUGAUAAUGCAAAGCAAAUUAUGAUUGGAUGUUCUAGUAAUUUAUACAAGCAUUUGAAAUUGUGGCGCAUGAAUGUAUAUAAUGAGAUAAAUUCAUAGAACAAUGUCUGAUCAAUUGAAGUGAUAACCUUUUGCUUCUAAAUCCCAAACAAGCAAAAAAAAAAGGGGGGGGCUUCUCGAACAGCUGACGGAAUGCAACUUGCAUUGGGAAGUUUGCAAUGCUGCAAGCUUCUCUGUUCUUAAAACAGAAAGAAAGACAGGCUACAAUUUGGCAACACGAGGUCAUCGAAGACAUAGAUACUUUGGAUUACCAAAAACUCAUGAGACAAUUUCCACAAAUCUAGCAGCAUUUUUCUCUGAGAAUUCCAAGAAUAUGUGACUAUCAACAACAGGGAUGCGUAAAAACAAGAAAGAUUUGAUAUAAACAGGUUAAUCUAUGUAUAAACAAGAAAGCAUUGGCGAAGGUUUCAAGCUCGAUUGAAAGAACAAAAAUCAACAGACUGGAAAGAUUUCUGCAACAUUUUAAGCCGAGACUUUGGAAUAACCGAAGCAAAGAACACGACCUGAUCACGUACAGAAGAACUGCCGAAGCUCAAGCAAUCAACAUAUAUAAGCAAGCUAGCUUAGGAAAACAUCAUCUUGGCAUCUCGAAGCCAAAACAAAGCACGAAAUUGUAGGGAGACGAGAGCCAGGAGAAGGGGGAAAACCCAUAUUUUUCCUCCCCCAAACUCGGCCACCGACCUUUCCAUCUUGAUCGAUCAAACUAUCCGAAAACCAAAUCCAACCUAGGUUUCAAGCCAAGAUCAAAGAGCACCAAGAAACUCCUCAAAAAGACGAUUUUUUUCACCAAAGCAAUCGCCUUUGCAAGAAAGAAAUUGAUACACAGAUGGGGUCGGAUCGGGUGACUCUAACCUUGGAAGAGCGAUUGAUGGCGAGCUAGGGUUUGGUGAAGGGACCGAAGAAAGAAAUCUUGCACGGAGGCCUCCAUUGCCCCCAAAUCUUUCUCCCUCUCCUUCUCUUUCUUUCUUUGUCUGUGUACAGAAAUAAAAGUUCCCAGAAACAGAAUAAUAAUACAACUGUACACACAACAUAUGCUCCCUUCUCCUCCUAAACAAUCACUGUCCUCACCACCACCGAGUUACAAUUUUGGCACUUUCAAUUCCCCCUAAUUGUCUUAUGGCCAACUCUUUUCACAGGUCACCAAAUAGUUGUUUAUGUACAACGAUUGGUAUUAGACAUGGCAGUAAGAAAACCAGUCAUUUCUUGUUUUCUUUUCUUCUAAUCUUCCCAUUCAAGGAAUGAAAUGGAACUGCUCCAUCAUUAUGAUCACAUGUAGCUGCAGAGAAUUAUCUAGUUGUUCUUCUUUGUCAGAACUGAUGUACUGGAUAGUUAUUUCAGAUCAUCUCCUAUUAAUGAGAGCUGGAAAUGAGUUCACCUUCACUGUUUGUGGAACAUGCUUCCAGCACAUACUGCAUGGCCAUGAGCUUGCAUUGUAGCAGUCGUACAAGUUCCUGUUGGAACAUCGGUCGACUCUUUCCUUGUCCAUGCAAUCUGCCAUCUUGAGACCAACAGAGGCAGGCAAAUCAACCCGGAGGCCAGGAGAAACCACCAGAAUCUAUGGCAAUCAGAAAUCUCUGCAGCGGAAGGUGAAAGGGAUUGUGUGAAGCUGGUCAGCUCUUCACGUCCUAUGACUAAAUUGUUUCUGAUCGAUAUCACUUCCCUCUUGUCGGAAAAGGAAUCAAAUGAGUAGUAAAUCUCUACUCGAACAGUGCAAAUCAAUGAUUUGGAGGAAGCUGCAUUCACGUUGCGGUCAUAACAAGUUCACUGCUUGCAGAUGCCAUUCUCUUGGAGAACAAACAAAAAAGCAAGAAGCAGAGGUACACACCUCAUCUGAAGGAAGAGGCUCCAAACAUGAUUUCUCUCUUCUUUCUUCUUUUCCAUCCCUCUGCUACUAAGAAUGAGGAUCUUGUUGGAUUGAUACAUCCUGUGAAUUCACAGAGUACAACGAAUUGCAAUUUGUUUGCAUUGACUGGUGAACAAACUAUAAUUAUUCUUGGUAUGAUAGCUGGACCUAUUCUGGCAGAUAAAACCAUUACAAGCUCUCAUACAUCAGGUAGCAGACUCCAUGUUUCUUCUGCAUAGAAACUGGUUCUCAAUUACUUCUUCCAUUAAUAGUUUAUAUUUAAAUAAUUAUCCAAAACUUAUACCCUUUUUUUUUUGUUCUUUUAUUUCACAAUUUUUUUUGGGGUCACCAUCUUUCAGCCCAGAUGGAAGAAACAACAGAGAGAUGAAGCCCACUGUAUGUAGCAGAGACUUCUGCAUCAGCACCAACAAUCAACAUGAGACAAUCUACUUAUAUAUUCUCAUUGUUUCUUAUGCUAUAUAGAUCAUGGGAACCCUACAAACAUGGUAGUACCAUCUGUGCCAACAAAGACCCUCAUCUCCAACUCAACAUGAACCAUACAACCUGGAUGAUCAAAAUUCUAUUCAUGGAAACAGUCCUUUUAUGUACAAAUAUAUGAUUGCAUACACUAACCAUAUAUGGUUUUCAUUCACAUAAGCAUCACAUUUUGUGGCCUCACUUAUUGCUGCAUUAAAUGGAGAAUAUCUAAUUGAAACUAAAGACCAACCCUUCAUAUCUACUUCCUUGGUAUCCAGAGUUUAUGUUCUACACCUGUCUUUUUUAUGCAUUAUCUCUAAACAUGUAAUGUCAUCAUCAGAGAAGAACCACUCAGUGCCAAUUGGCCUCUGUCCUUGAAUUGAAGAGACUUAGUAGGCUAUGGGUCAGUUAUGUUCUUAAAUGUAGGAUCUUGUAGUAUGAUCUUCAUUCUCAUGACAAACUAGUUACUGUGUUUGCAUGUUAUUCCUUUAUGAGUGUAGAAGAUGUUUAGGAUGAACAAUGGACAAUAAAUUGGUAUACCAAAUGGCCUGAUCUCAAUUUAAUUUGUGGACAAAGAGAGUUCCCCACAUUUCAUUUAUUUAUAGCCAGGGGAACACUAAUUUUGGUAGAUGAAGAGUAGGUCCUAAGUCCCCAAGGACUGCAAUCUGAGGCUUGCAGAGGGUGAAUCUGGUGGUUCAUGUCAGUUCAAGGCAGAAGAAUGGUUGGCACCAACAUCAUUGAAUGAGACACAUGAAUUCAAUUCAAGACUGAAUGCCUUGACAAAGAUUGAAGGAAAAUUCAGAAGCACUAAUCUCUUGGAAGACAUCACAGCAUUUAUGUCUGUGAGAAUACUUCUUUCUAUCAAACUUGUUGUGACAAUGAAAAAUGUGCAAUUCCUCAUCUGAAACCAUAAUUCAUUUUCACUCAGAAAACACAACCAUCCAUCCACAUUUGCAGAUGAAAAGAAGAAACAAAACACUUGAACUUUGUUUUCAGCAAGACUUUUACUGGAUCUCUUUUGAGAUUUGGUUAGAAUAUGUGCCUAAGAAAUGAAAGAGAGCAAGGCAUGUGCAAGAUGUUGGAAUUGUUCAGUGACUGUUCACAUCCAUGCUGACUUAGCAUGUGUAGGUUAAAUGCUUAAAUUCAAUUUGUCACACAGAAUCCAAUGCUGCAUCAACUUGUUGUCAAUUACUUUUAAGUGCAGACAUCUUAUUAAACAGCAUGUUUGUUUUCUGGUCACAUGAAAAGCUUUGAGUUCAUCUCCAGUGAGUAAUGGAGAUUGCCAGCAAAGCUAAAGCUCAAGAAAAGCUGGUUAUUGCCCAACACUUGCAUUGGCUAUUGUAACUUUCAAUUCCAUAGGACUGUUACAUCUAAAUAAUGGAGAAGAAGACAUGGAAGGGUUUGAUAUUUAUGCUUGUUUGACCACAAUAGCAAUGUCAUUUUUUGGUGGUCCUCAUCCUUUCCUCUUGACACCAGUUUUAGCCCCCAGCCACAAUAACACUGACCAAAAAAGAGAAUAUUAAUGUGUAGAUAUCAUUUGUUUUAUAAUAUUUAAUUAAUAUGCUAUUUCAUCUUAUGAUAUAUUAUACUUUAUGUAUCUUCUCAAUAUAAGGUAAAGGUUUCAAAGUCAACCAAAAAAAAAAUAUAUCUUUGUAAAUUAUGACCAAAUUUCUGAGGGGAGUUGGGAAUGAGACUGAUACUUCUGAAGGUAAUUAGAUUCAGCAAAGUAAGUGGAAUGAGAAUGAGUAUGAUUUCAAUUGGCAACAUCAACAAUGGAUAUCAAACAAUUCCUGUUCUCAUCCACCACAUGAAUCAUUUGGUGGUAGAUAACUCCAUGGCUGGUUUGGCAGGAGGACCCACCCACCAUUGCCAAGCCUUCAUGUGCUGUAGGCUGUAGUGAUUAUUGAGAGGGUACAGUGGGUUUCCCAUUAUGCAAGAAUAUGACAGAAGAAUUUGUCCUCAAUACUGGGACACAAAACACAACACAACAAGGCAGUGCAUCCCCCACCCACAUGCACCCACUGCUAAAUCCCAACACCUUUCCACAACCAUGGCAGCUAAGAAGCAAUUUUUUUGCUUCAACUUGAAACCUGUGAGAUAUAGAAAGCCUUUUUUAGGAAAAGGAAAAUGGAGAGAAAGAAAGAAAGAAAGAAAGAGAUUGAGAGGUUUCAACUUUUGACCAUCUGGGAGUGUUCAUACUCAAUGCAACACUUGAUAGGUCAUGCAUAGAUGGUGAGCUCUGCAGUUGUAAUUUUCUCAAGCACGAGCAGUGGCAGUGUCAGCUAAAUUUGGUGAGUCUGCAUGGAGUUGGUGAUCUUAUUCUUAAGGUGACAACUCAAGCUCCAUUGUCACCCAAAACAAUUAGUAGUCAAGCAGAAGAAGAUGACUUCAUGUCUCAUGCUGGAGGUCAAUAAUUUAGUGAACUUGGUUUGUAAGAUCCAAGUCUUGCAAGAAUUAGAUGCAAGUCCUGAUCAAGCUUGUCCAAAGUUCAUGUAAAUUAGAUAAUUACUGAUGGAUCAUCAAAGAAAUUAAUCCUCUAAAAUUCCCCUUAAGCAAUAGCUUCCUUUCUUUCAUUUUCAGGUUGUGGAUGACACAUCAGUAAAGAAAUUAAGAUACUCUGAUAAUAAUAAUAAUAAUAAUUUCUAGUCAAGAAAUUAGUCUAACUUUAGACUUUCUCAACAUGAAAUUAAAGAAAAGAAAAGGAGAGAAAGCAAUAGCUUCCUUUCUUUCAUUUUCAGGUUGUGGGCAACCAAAGGUAGGGUUCCUUCUUGCUUGCUACUUUAUAUAGGAAAAGGUCAGGACAAAGAGAAAUAAACAAAAAGUACUCAUCAUUAGAUAAAUAUAUCUCUUAUAUGCAAAUAACUAAAUGGGAUGACUUGGUCUUACCCAUGCCACAUUUACUAUAUUUGUGCCACUGACGUUGUUGAAUGAUUCAACCAUGAAAAAGUUUGAUGCAUGACAUCCCAAUUUUGACUUGUAUUAGAAACCCUAUCGUCUUGUGUUGACUUACUUUACUUAUUCACAAACGAGACUUAAAACAAAGUGUUGUCAUUUGCCAAAGGAAGUGAAUGGCUUUCGAAGAAAAAAUAUGUGUGAAUUUUUUUAAAUAUUUAGGUUUAAUAAUUUCUCGUAUGGCGUUCUAAUUAAAAAAAAUUAUAAAAUAUUUUUUUUCAUAAAUGAUCAUUCUACUUAUGAUUACUAUUAGAUCUAUCGUCGUCUAUACCAUACAUUACGCCUGUAUAUGUGUACGAAGAUGACGACAACAAUACUCGUAAAAGGAUCACGAACAAGGAUUGCAACAAUAAGAUUGACGUUAGGUUUGGAAAAAAAAAGAAUAAAAUUAUUAAAAAAUAAUUAUUUUUUUACAUAAUUAAGGUAUAAUUUUUUGAAAAGUUGGAGCACCAUAUAAAAAAUUCUUAAACUCAGAGGUUUUUUUUUUUUUCAAAAAAUCGCUUAUAUAUAUAUAUAUAUAUAUAUAAUUUCGUUUAUAUAUAUUAUUUUUUUUCGAAAAUUCGCUUCUAUAUAUAUAUUAAAAGCACACAAAGAAACUGCCAUUUGAGAGUAAUAAAACAAGCAAACAGGCAGCCCCACGCCUCCAUCGCCCACUCCUCCCAGUCUCCAGUCUCUCUCUCUCUCUCUCUUACUUAAUGGGCUCGUGCCUCUCGUCCUCCUCGUCGCCGGCGACGGUGGACAGAACCCUAACGGCGGGCCCCCGGGGCGGUGGCUCCUCGGGCCUCUCUCGGUUCCGAUCAAGGAGCUGGAGGGGGCGGAAGAAGGCAAUGAAGGAGAAGCAGAAGAGAGGAGGCGGGGGGCGGCGGCGUGCGGCGGUCGACGGCAGUGGCGAGGCCGAGGAGGACGAGCUCGACCGCGUGCCCGGACGGAUGUUCUUGAACGGCACCAGCGAGGCGGCAUGCCUCUACACGCAGCAGGGAAGGAAGGGGACUAACCAGGACGCCAUGAUUGUGUGGGAGGUAUCGGCUCUCGAACUCCUUUUUCGUUCAUGGGAUAAAAAAAACGAUGACUUUCGUUGUUAAUACCACGUGGAUUUGAUGGCAAGAAUUGGUCUUUACGCGUCGGUGAAAAUUUGUUCCAUUUAUCAAGAUAGAAGCAUCAAAUUAAUGUGUUUUUAACUCUAAAAAUGUCAUCUCUAAUUAGAUUCAGUCCCUUUAUGUCUGAUUUUGGAAAUGUUCUCGUGACCUUUGCUCCUAUUGAAUAUUCUUCAAAUAUGUUGGAUAUGGAUAUUUGGCUUUUUAAAUGCGGUUACCUUUUGAGAUCGUAUGGAACAAAACUCACGGUCGAAGAUUUUACACGUAAUUGGAAGGUUGAACAUUUGCAUUGGGAGCAAUACGUCGCACGGUGGUAUAUUUGAAGCAUGAUUUUCCCAUUCUUUGUAUGUGUUUCCUCUAAUGUUUUUUCUGUGUAUCUUGUUCUUUUAACAAAAUUCUGUGGCCGAUCCCUUUUCCCCUCAACAAAUAAAAAUCCUUUUCUUUGUUCCUUCAUAAGUGAAUAUUAAGAGUCCUUCUUUCCUAGCAUGUGAUUUUUACAAGAAAAGCAUAAAUUUAGAACAUGUUUCUUUAGCAAAAGGAGUCUGAAAUAGUCAAAAGAGCUCACACUUAUAAUGGUCAUCAUCAGUAGUUUGUAAAGCUUAGCUGAAUUUAAUCUUCCAGCAUAUUUCAAUUCCUUUUUACUAUUCUGAAUAUGCAAUUGAGCUUCAUUCUUAGCUCUAAUGUUCCACCUUUAUCUAUAACAUUAGGAUGUUUAAUGUAUCUUUGAUAUGUUAGCAUGAGUUUGUAACCCUCCUCCAUUAUUUAUUGCUUUAAUGCAUGGUAGAAGUUACUUAGCACUCUGACUUAUUAGUCACUCUUGUAGGAAAGUUAGAGUAAGGCGUAUUUAUUGUGACUAAUAUAUAUGGUCUCUGCUACUAAUUAACCAUAAACGUAAUAGUGUGAAAGAAUUGUCAUCAGAAAGUUUCUAUGUCUUGCAAAAUGUUAUGGAGAAGCUUGGCAUCAUACCAAAGACCAAGGAAACUAUUAUGUGCAAAAUUCAGUCACAAAUCUAUCGAGGUAAGAUGGCUUUCAUGUAAAAUUUGUAACUAAUAGUACUAUGAUGUACCAUUUGUGGCUUCAUUGUAUUUCUUUCAUCUGGUCAUAGCAGUGAAAUUGGGACCACCUUAAGUCAUUAAUGGGACUUUCAUGAUAGCCACCAGGCAUCUUUAAGGAAAUGAAAAACAUAAGAAUUGAUGGCCAUCAGAUUGCCUAUGCCUUGUGUUGUUGAAUAAAAGAUUAAAGUAUUUAGCUUUUUAAAUUUCUUAUAUAUGCAUCUCCUUUCUGGAGGUUUGUUAGCAAAAAUGGACUUCUGGAAGGCAAAACUGAGCUUUAAUAAAAUGGAGAACUAAAUCAUCCAUAAAUUACCACAUGUAUCAUACCUUUGUUUAAUUGGGUUGGUUAGACACAUAUGAAGUACAUAAAAUACCAAGAGAGAUGACUCAGAGCAGGCACAACGUCCAAGUUAGUAUAUUCUUACUAUAAAGCUUAACUUUUGUUGGUUCUGAUACUUGAAUCUGGUUUUCAAUUACACUUAAUUUAACCAUCAACAUGAUUGUAUUGCUUGUUCCAUAUGCCUUUUCAGGCGCAUGCCUCAUAUGUCUAAUGACAUAUUUUGAAGUCCCUUAUUUUUAUAUUGCAGUUUUCUCAGUUCAACUUCUUCAGUAUUUGUAUAUUGUGUUUAUCAGGUUCAUUCAGAUUACUUGGAAAAGCAUUUGUUGUACAAACCAAUGAUACAUUUUGGUUUUGUUUCAAAAGCUAGGAUGUAAACUUUUUGAGAACUUACGUAUAGUCACAUUUGUGAUUGUAGAAUUUCUCUUUGACAAAAGACACCAUUUUCUGUGGGGUUUUUGAUGGUCAUGGUCCGUAUGGUCAUAUGGUUUCCAAGAAAGUCAGAGAUUCUCUUCCUCUCAAGUUGUCCACCCAAUGGAGAGCUAGUCUUAACAGUCAUGAGAGUCCUGAUCCAAACGGUAGCAUCUCUGGGAGUAUGAACUCUGAAGAAACAGCAUCUAUGAGCAUAGAUGAUGAGUGCGGUGAAUCAUUAGAUGUUGAUGAGAAUGAAAAAUUGCCUGAGAUGUAUCUUCCGCUAAAGCAGUCUUUUCUCAAGUCUUUCAAGUCGAUGGACAAAGAGUUGAAGUUUCACCCAACUAUUGACUGUUUCUGCAGUGGAACUACAGCUGUUACUGUGGUAAAGCAGGUAUUGUGUUGCAAAAUCUUUCAGUUUCUCUGAAUUGGUCGUCUUACUGGUGAUUAAAUAGUUCUCAGAUUCCGAGUUGGAUUUAUCAGAGAUUCUAGAUUUGCUAGAUUCAUAGAAGCUUCCAAUUCUACUGUUUGCAAUUUCAGAUUCUAAAACAAGUGAUUGCUUGGUUAAGUUUUUGCAAAACAAUUUUAGGAAUCAGUUUUCCUUCUAUCCAUAUGCUGGCCGUUAAAUUUUGUGUUACUCUACCAUACCAGGGACAAGAUCUUGUUAUCGGGAACAUUGGCGACUCAAGAGCGAUAAUGGGAACACGGGACAAGGAAAAUAAUUUGACUGCUGUGCAAUUGACUGUUGAUCUGAAGCCCAAUCUUCCUAGUAAUGAUCUCUUUCCAUGUGACAUUUAAAGCCUUUUGGCAUAGUAACUUGCUGAAUGGAGCAUUUUUUUUGCUUUCAAUUAGGAUAUUUUCAUUGAGUAAUGACUUUGUUAUUGAAGUAUAAAAUAUCUUGGAUUUUUCCAGCAUUUUAUCCAUCUAUUAUAAGAAGUGAAAGAAUUCAUUUCCGUGUUCAUUACGAUGCAGUUUUUUAUCUUCUUUUCUACGUAUAUAAGUGAUAUCAAUUGUCAUUGUUGAUGAUUUUUAAUAAACUUAUUAACUUAUGAGGUCUGUCUAGGACUAAACUUUGAUAUGUUGUCCUUAGGGGAAGCUGCUAGAAUCCAGCAAUGCAAGGGACGAGUUUUUGCACUGCAGGAUGAACCAGAAGUUGCACGAGUUUGGUUGCCAAACAAUGACUCCCCUGGCUUGGCGAUGGCCAGAGCUUUUGGGGAUUUCUGUCUUAAAGAUUAUGGUCUAAUAUCAGUUCCAGAAAUUUCAUAUCGUCACCUGACUGAGAAAGACGAGUUUAUAGUUCUUGCAACUGAUGGGGUACUUCUCUUAUAAUAGUUUAGUUGCUUUUAUCAUGUAUUUUGGGAUUUCUUUCUUAAAGAUAAUGGUUUAGAAUUAGUUCCAGAAGUUUCAUACGAUGCAUUAUUAAGCCUAUUUUUCAGUUUUAAUUACAGUUCCAUCUUUAUCCCUUUUCUAGGUUAUUGCGAAUGUGAAUGUUUUGAUCGAUCUGUAGCCAUUCUUCUGGUUUAUGGUGCUUUGGUCUACAACCUUUGAGUCAACUGAAAUGAGACUAACACUUCAAUGAUUAUGAUCAACAUCAUUCUUCUAAAACUACCCCUUUACAUAGUCCUCUUUUGCUAUCACAAGUGGGACUUGUGCCUAUUCAGUUUUUCACUCCUUUGCUUCUGUCUCUGGGAAGGGACAGAAACUUCGAAAUUUCGUUACUUUGAAUCCCUCUUUUAGUGUUGUGCUGCUACAUGUAGAUGAGAAUACUGCACCUUAAUAUUAAAAUUAUGGAGAAAAGUACGAGAAGUUGUAUUUUUCCAGUCACUGUCAUCCAUACAAUCAGAUAUUGGAGUUGCAAGGCUGUAAAUCAGUAUGAAUAUAGUGAUGAUGCUUCAAAUUUGCUCUUAUUCAACUGCUCCCACUAGGAUGUCCUGUCCAGAGCAUGAUCUCAAUUCUGAAUUAAUCCAUUCCUUAGAAAGGUUUUUUUUUUGGUCCAUGCAUACUCUAAAUAUCUGUUUGAGAUAAUCACAAAUUUGUAAUUAUAAUCGCAAGAACUUGCCCCUAAUUUCUGAUUGGUGAUGGAAUUCUGAUUUUAUUUUCUUGCAAGUGUAUAUUAUUGCAGUACAACUAGUUAUUUGAAUCUGAUAAUAGAUUAUUAAUCUAGGAACCUUCAGUUUUGCAUCUUAUAUAUUUCUUGAUGAAUCACUAGCUUCUUGUUUAGAAGCUGAUGAAGUUUUCAAUAUGAGAAUCGAUUAUGUGCAGGUCUGGGAUGUUCUUUCCAACAAGGAAGUAGUUGAUGUGGUUGGUUCUGCUCCCACUCGCAGCACUGCUGCAAGAGCUGUUGUUGACUGUGCUGUACGAGCCUGGCGACUCAAGUUUCCAACAUCAAAAAUUGAUGACUGUGCUGUUGUCUGUCUAUUCUUGAAACCCAUUUCAUCAUCUGAUCCAGUUCAGAAAUGUGACUCCAACAGAUCAGAUGCUGAGUCAACAGAGACAGCAGUCUUGGUUCUUGCAGAUAAAGAAGUCACAGUCAAGCAAGAAACACAUGAAUUAAUUACUGUUGAUGUUCCAACUUCUGCUUUGGAACCUUCUUAUCCUGUUCACAGUGCAAACGAGAUCGUCCCAGUAUCAGAGGGACCUGAUUUGGAAACUGUGACCGAAAGAUCCCAGUCUACCAGGAGCCUUGCCGACUGUAUAUCCACCACAGAGGAGGAGGAAUGGUCUGCCUUAGAAGGCAUCACCAGGGUGAACUCCCUACUUAAUCUUCCAAGAUUUUUAUCUGGUGAUAAGAGAUCCUCGAGUUGGAAAAAAUGGUUGUAAGAAGCCACAGUCACAUGCAACGUGGUCAUUCUAUUAUUGCCCAGCUCAAACACAAGGAAGUUCAAGGUGAAAAAACUCCUUACAAUUGGGAAGUAAAUCUGAAAAUUGUUGUACUGCAAAUUUCUCCGAAGCCAAUGUUCUCAUUAAGUUUGGAUUAGCAAUGUUAUCUACAUUGAUUGUAGAAGUGCAACGCAAGACCUAUCUUCUGUUAUUAUAUUCUGCUCAUGCUGGAGGUCUAGACCUCACAGGAUUCUUUUCUCAUGUACAAAGUUUUUGUGUGGAAAGAAGCCUGUGAAUCAUGUGUUGCCUCCCACCUAUGUGAAGAACAGCCUAUGUGCUCUCUUGUUCAAGCAUCUUUUUGUGUUCCAUUUUCUUGUUCUACCAAUCGAGCAUCCAUUUCUGUUCAUCUUGCUUUGUUAGGUAUGUGGAGUUACUUCUGUUUAUGCAUCUAUCUGGAUAUCUAUUCAGAAUUCUUCAUAUUUCCUGUCAAUCUAAUGGCAGCUUCUUGCCAAGAAUAUUUGGUAUAAGAUAUCUAUAUGCAGCUUGUGCAUCUGAUUUGGUCCAAUUUUUGUACAACAAUAAGAUUGUUUUUCUAUAAUAGUUGGAAUUAACUUUUGUAUGCGCAAGAUUGUGUAUAUUCAUCUUUUUGGCCAAAUCUUUUAUAUAUAUAUAUAUAUAUAUAUAUAUAUAUAUAUAUAUAUAUAUAUAUAUAUAUAUAUAUAUAUAUAUAUAUAUAUAUAUAUAUAUAUNNNNNNNNNNNNNNNNNNNNUAUAUAUAUAUAUAUAUAUAUAUAUAUAUAUAUAUAUAUAUAUAUAUAUAUAUAUCAGCCAUGCGAUAUGAUAUGGACGGAUCGAUUGUGUUUCAGCCCAGCGAUGGGACCCACAGUGACGAACAGACGUGACGCAGGAAUUGUAGGGUUUGAAUUAAAGGUAUCAUUGGAGGGGAUCCGCACCCAUCCGGGGAACUUCUAUAAACCCUAGAAGCUGAAGGUACCCCCGUCUUCGAUGGCGGAAGAAGAAAAGCUCUGUAGCUACAAGAAAACCUAAUAGUCUCAUUCCCACCCCACUCGAGAUGUUGUCGUCGACACGCUCACUCCUCUUCCGUCGCCGCCUGCCCCGUCACCUCGUCUCCCUCGUCAGAUCCUCCCCGCUUCCUCCUCGAUCCACCGAUCCAAACGUCCCAUUCGGAUCGAUCGCUCUCCUCUCCACGAGGCUUCGUUCCCUCUCCUCCUCCUCCUCCGGCUUCGGCGAGUCUGGAGGCGGCGGAGAGGGGGAGACCAAGGAUCCCUGGGGUGGUUCCGACCAGCCCCAAUCCUCCUCUUCUUCCUCCUCCGGCGGCCUCGACUGGGGAGAGGCGUCUUCCUGGUCAACGGGGUUGACGAAGGAACAUUUCGAUGGGGAGGCCGUCGGCCGCCAGGUCUCGCCGACGAGCGAGCUGAAGGCGCAGGCGAAGGCGAUGGACGACGAAGAUGAGAUCUUGCGAAUGCUUGAGAAGGACAACAAGGAGAGCAAGGCGUUCGUGAAUGGGUGGAGGGAGCGGUUGAUGGAGACGUACCAUCUCCUGAAGCAGGUGAGGGAGCCCGGGGUCAGGGGGUCAUACCUUAAAGAUUCAGAGAAAGCGGAGAUGUACCGGCUCCAUAAGGAGAACCCGGAGGUGUACACGGUGGAAAGACUGGCGAAGGAUUACCGGAUCAUGCGGCAGAGGGUGCACGCCAUCCUGUGGCUGAAAGAGAUGGAGGAGGAGGAGGAAAAGAAGCGUGGGAAACCAUUGGAUGACUCGGUCGAGAUCUUGCUGGACAACUUCCCCGAGUAAGUGAAAAAUGAAAGAAGGAAAAAAAAGCUUUUUUUUAAAUGUUUCCUUAAUCCAUGUUUCUUUUAAUUUAAGCCAUUGUUUUCUACCUUUGAAUAUUUGAGCUUAGCAUCGGAUAGGAUUAAAAAGAAGUGCUUAGUAGUUGAUUUGUUAGAUGAAAUGGCGAUAGCUGUUUGAUUCUCCGUAUAUUAUGACCUUUGCAAAAUUAAUUUUUCAUAGGUUACCUCGUGGUGAUGACAAAACCCUAUGAUGCUAUUUAUUAUGUAAGUGAGAGAUAAUACAUCAAAGGGGGAAAUAGAUGAUAGCACUUAUGUGUCUUGAGCUUAUGCUAAAUUUGGUUAAUAUCAAUCUUGUAACAUUUUCUGAUAUAUUUGAUGGUUGCCAAUUAAAGAAAAACAAUUUCUCAAUCUUUAUUAUAGCCAUUGCAGCCGCUGAAGCAGCUAUUAGUCUAUAUAUUGUUUCGUUGAUUCAUCGAACAAAAAAUCAAGUUGUAUCAAUCAAUCGAAUUUGUUGAAUAGGUAAAACACAAAUGUUUUUUAUAUUUUGCUGUAGGAAUCUAAUUGAGUCAACACUAUUUAAUUGCACCUGGUUGACUGCAUCAGUCUGAACAGGACUUUUUAAGAAAGCAUAGGGUGAGCAAGCAACCCCUUGAAAAUAAACAGUUAUUAGUAUCGUAUUAUAAAGUGGUCAGACCUGAAAAUUUUGAAACUAGGCAUUUAAGUUAGAAAGUGCAAAAAAAAUUGUACAGGAGUUGGAGGCUUGCAGCUCUCCAACAUGAUCUAUCUCACAUUCCAAAUGUGAUGUCAUUAAGUUUGGAACUUCUUAAAAAUAUUGUUAGGAUAUGUAUUUAGAAAGGAAAAGGAACAUAUUGUUAAUAACUGAUAUGCUCAUAGUGAUUGAGAAAUAUGGCAAAGUGGACUGAUUGAUUGCAAGACACUUUAGCAAGCUUCCCAAUGAUAUAGUCCUUAUAAGAGUAGAAAUAGGUGUUAUUCAGUCUAAUUGGGAAAGAGAAGGGGCAUCUAUUAGCAAGUCUCAAUGGUGAAAUUUAUAGCAUGAAAGUAAAAGGGCUAGCGGCUCUUCUCUUCUCUAUGUUUUAUGUCCCAUUUACUUCCUGUCAUAUGCGCUUGUUUUCUUCUUUCAUCUAGCAAAGUGGAAGUUUUUUCUGUUGAGCAACAAAUUUAUUUUCUUCAUAUCUCAUAGAGAUCUGAUAUCAGUAUAUAAUGAGCUUAUUGAUGCAACUUACAUACAUUAGUACAUAACUGCAUACAGCGGUACUCACAAACCUUUGUUAUGGUUCAUAUUGUAAUUACUUGAGAAAUAUUUACUUGUCUUAAUUUUUUAAGGGGCAUCUAUCAGUGAGGCCUGAUGAUGAAGUUUAUAGCAUGGAAGUAAAAGGGAAAGAGACUCUUUUCUUUAUAUUUUAUCGCCCAUUUGCUCCCUGUCUUAUGUGCUUGGUUACUUCUUUCAUCUAGCCCAGCGGAAGCUUAUAAUGUUGAAUAACAAAUUGCUUUUCUUUAUAUAUUAUGCAGUUCUGUUAUUCAGUGUAAAAUUAGCUGAUUGAUGCAACUUUGAUAAAUUAGUUCAUAACCGUGUGCAACACUUUGCGAAACUUUGUUAUGGUCCAUGUUGUAAUUUGUUGGGUAAUAUUGGUUUGUCUUAAUUUUUUAAAGUGUAUAAUAUUUGGAAAUUUUCUACUGCACUGGCAUUGCAUGGAAUUGCUACUCUUGAAUAUUUGACAUCAAUAUGACAUGUUACAUAAUUUUGAUUUUGGAUAUCUUGCCUUUUUCUUGCUUUGGUGUUAAUUUGAAUUGCUCCACUAUAGAGCAGGGAUAGGCUAAACUGAAUUUAAUUGAUUUCCUUGCCAAAUUUUAGAAAAAAUAUUAUAUACCUUUAAUGGGUUAAUUUAAUUUGGUCAAAUUGUCAUUAAGGUUAACUUACAAAAGAACUGAAAUCAACCUUUGUAUUGUUGCGGAUUUAACGCAUCAUUUCUGUUCACUUGCAGGUUUUUCAAUUCCCAUGAUAGGGAAUUUCAUGUCGCCUCUCUUCCGUACAAACCUGACUUCAAGAUCAUGCCUGAGGACUGGGAUGGCACCACAAGAGAUCGUGACGAAGUUCUUUAUGAAAUCUCGGUGAAGGAAGAUCAAAUGCUGUAUGAAGAAUUUGUACAAAAACUAAAUUUCAAUAAGAAAAAAGUAAGUUAUCUGACUUACUGUUAUUAUUUCUUCUUAAUGCACCAAAAAAGAUGCAUUUUAAUGCAAUCAUUAGAAAAGAUAAUUGAUCAUUUCUAACAUCGAACGGAGAUUGUGUUUUCACUGGUUAAAUUUAACAUUGUACUUGCCGAGAUACAUGGCACCUCCUAGGUUAGCUGAUGAUUUUGGAUUGCUAUUUUGGCCAUUACUCAUCUAAUAUUUCUUCUUUCAUGAUCUUGGUUGCAAUGUUUAGAAAACACUUACAUUGUGCAUUAAUUUGUUAGUGGAUCAUUUUUCACUGGAUAGAUCGGACUUGCAUCUCUCUGUUUCCUUUUCUGUCGUAAUUAUGUUCCCCGAUGUCAUAGUAUUGAAUGCUGUCAAUGGCAGAUCUCCAUGGUACCUAACUGCUUUUGUAUUUAGUUUAGAUAUGUAGAGUGGAAUUCAUAACAGUGAUUUGGAGAAUGUGGAUGCACAUCAUGCUUAGGUAUCAUUUAUUGGAAUUACUGUAUAUGCACAUCAUGAUUUGGAGAAUGUGGAUGGACAUCAUGCUUAGGUAUCAUUUGAAAACUGAAGAUUUGUAUAAGUCGGGACUGGUUAGGCACUGUAACAAUUCAUGCCAAGUUUUGAAAUUUUGAUGCUUGUUUCUUCUGACAGCCUAUUUUGCUAUUGACUAUUACAUUUGUGCUCGAUAAUUCUUUGUUACCUUUCUUGGCUUCUGUCAAAAAAUUAGAAUCUAAGAAGGGAACGACAUUAUAUGCCCCUGAUAGGCUUAAUACAGUGAAGCUGUCUUUUUAAAUGGAUCAGCAGGCUCAUGCAUGGCUUAUAUGCUGUUUAUUCUUCUGUAUAGGACCUGCAUGACUCGUUUACUAGUAAAACUUUUGCCCUUUUGUUUUUCUUCCACCAGGUUGCUGGGGAGGUAAAAUUCCACAAAUAUAGCAGGCGGCGGCCAUCAGAUGGCUGGAGCUUUACUGUCGAGAAGUUAGGUGUCCGUGAUAAACGUGGUAGUGGUGGUGGUUUUAAAUUUGUUAGCUUGCCUGAUGGAUCAAGCCGUGCUCUGAAUGAAAUGGAAAAGAUGUACGUGAAGAGAGAGACUCCCAAGCGUAGGAGGAGGAUACUUCCUCCGUUCAAGUGACCAUUGCAUCGCUUAUCCUUUUCGGCAAUGCAAUGCUCACUCACUUUUUGGAUUUUCAUCUCUCUCUCAAAGGGGAGGAAAGGCCAUAUGCAUCAGGCAGAAUGUAAAAUGAUGUUUCAGAUGUCGUAUGAAGGAGCUUUAGUUAUACUGUGAAUUUGUUUCCAAUAAUGUCUGGCUGAAUUUGUUUCAGAUAAUUGGGUUUUUUUAUCAAAAUCAAUUGAAAUUUGCAAUGUUUUUGAUACAAUAUGUACUUGUUCUUUGCUUGUUUAUAUUGAAGGAUAUCAAGAAGUAAGAAGUUGAUCGGUUGAAUUGUUUUUUGAUACACGGGAGUUCUGUGAUUGUUGAUGGGGUUGGCUACUGAUCGCUGCACAGACACAUGUCGUUCGACCAACAGUGAAACCCACAUAAUGUAUGAUAUUAAUCCAGUCACAAAUGCCUUUCAUAUGGAUAGGAUGUUACAAGGGAUAGAUAAAUCUGUGGCAACAAAGCAUGUCACGAUGAGCUGCAGCACCCUCAGUGGAACUUGAAGCUGGUCAAGAUGUUGUUGUGCACAGGGUCGGCCAAGUGAUCCAACAGGUUCUGGAACGGCCCAACUCCGGUCAACGCCGCCUGCGCAAAGUAGCCCAGGAUGGCCAGCAUGGCCAGCCUCCCAUUCUUCACCUCCUUCAGCUUCAGAUCGUUCAUCGACUUCUCGUCCUUCCCAAAGCCGAGAGGGUUGAAGAGAGGUCCUCCAGGGUAUAUAGGGUUUCCCGACCCCCCCAACCACUUCUCGAGACCUAAGAAGUACUGCUUCCCCAUGGAGCCUGGAUUUGCCCAGUCCUGGAAUCUCCGGUGCUCCGCGAACCCCAUGAGCGCCAUCUCCAGCACGAACAGCGUGUAGGGGUCUGCCCAGUAGUUGUAAGUGCCGGCCGGUGGAAAGACGCCAGUCUUGAACCAGGGUAGUGCGGUCUCAGGUGGUAUCCACCCGAGCUUUCCGAAGAUCUCGGGCGCGAUGGCGCCUACUGCCCCCAGCAUGGCAUACCUCCCGUUGAUGACCUCACCGUAGGCCAGCCAUUUGGGCUCGAUGAAUCCUCCGGUGCCUUCGGGGUCCGACAGGCCAAGGGGGUCAAAGCCGUAGUCACCGGGGAGGCUGCAACCACGACAAGUUAGUUAAGUUCCGGUGAAGAGGGAGCUCAUGAUCCAUGGGCGAACUCAUAUUACUUGUGCUUUACCUUCCGUCCAAGUAGGUGAGGGACUGCUUGGAGGCAAACCAGAGCUGUCUGUCUGCUCCUUGCUGCAAAAGAUACCAGACGGAUCAUGGAUCCAUGUGACGAGAUAGAAGCUAUUCCAUACACUACCGGUCGGCAGAAGCUAAUCCAAGAAGAGAUCAAAACGAUUACUGUGCCAAGUUGCGACUGACCUUGACGGGAGGCGUGGAAGCUGCUCUGACGGCGAACGAAGCCUUCCUCGAAGAACCAAGAGAUCUCGAGGGAGCAGACCGGAGGGGCCUUCCCCCGAGGAGCUGCCUUCCAGCCUCCACCGAGGAGAGAAAAGCCUGGGUUGCCAUCGGUGUUCGCUGCCGCUCUUGCCUGCCUCUCCCUGUCGGUCGUAGCUGGAGGGGAUGGAAAUGAAACCAGAGAGGAGUGAGUUCGAAUGGAGACCGGCAGGAAGAGAGAAAUAUGAGGCUGGUUCGAGCGGUGUGGGGCACGGGAAUCUAAAUUAGAUAUCAGGUUCGCCUAUGGAAGAUGAGGCCCUGACAUGGCCGCCAAUGACACUGCUACACGUGGGACAUUUAGCGGAUAAGAAGAAGGUGUUUGGAGCGUGGGUGGCUGACGACUCAUUUGCGGCCCCAUUAAAUCUUGUGAUGAGUAGAUUUUCUAUCAGGACUUGUGGCCUCCAUCGAGUCUGGUUAGAUAACACCUGUUCUACCUCACAGAAUUGAUGGGCCAUAUUUUUGCAGCUGUGUGUCUCCAUUCCCUUCUCAAGCUGCCAUGCACACAUAUGUUGAUUUCCUUGUAAUUAAUCACAAGAAUUUAAGGUGCUAAAUUCAUCAACCAGCAGAUAUUGGAAGAAGAAGAAGAAGAAGAAGAAGAAGGAAGCUGCUGAUCCAAAGGCCACUGGCGUACUUUGCACCUUCCAAAACCUUCCAUGUGAAUGAUGAUUAUUAUCGGAAGGCACAACCUUGUUCGUAUCAGCGACAAUGAUCAAAGAAUGUAAAGUUAUAUUUAUGUUAGUUGUUAAAUAACUCAUGCAUCCCAUAGAAAUUUCUCUUCAAAUAGAAGUUAUUUUGGAAUAAUUCAAAGACAUGAAGAACUUCUUAGUGGCCUGAUUCCUCUUCGAGACAUUCGGCAUCGAAUCGAUCUAAUUCUAAGAGUGAUCUUACUAAACAAAUCUCAAUACUGGAUGUGUCGGAAUGAACACGAAGAAGAGUUAAAUAAAUAAAUUAUGAAUAUAUUGCACAAGAGUUAUAUUUGAAAAAGUUUAAGUUCAUAAGUCUUUGUAGUUCUAUUAAUUCCAAAGAAUGAUGAAACUUAGCGAUAUGCGUCGAGCUAUCAACCGGAUUAUCAUAAAUAUAGAUUUUUUAUUUCAUAUGUCGAGGAUAUGUUCGAUAUACUUACUUGCAUUCAAAUUUUUUCUAAAAUUGAUCUUUGAAGUAGUAAUAUAAAUGACUAGUAGAUGUUAAGAAUUUUUUUAUUCUAUACUUGGCCAACACCAACAUCCCUAUAAGAUGUUUAGAGUUUUCAUGGGUUAGAAUCAUUUUAUCGUCGUCGAUUUAUUCAAAAUUUUAGUAUUAGUGUCGCUCCUCUAACCGAUUGUAUAAAAAAAGAUUAGUUCAAUGGACAAUUAAGGCAAACAAUAAUUUUGAACCACUAAAGAUGAAAUUAUCAACUACUCCUGUUUUUAUUUUAUUAUUUUUUAAAAAAUAUUUAAAGUUGAUUGUGAUGCAUUUCAUAUGGGUAAAGGCGGAAUACUUAGUCAAGAAGAAUAUCCAUCUAUAUUUUUUAAUGAAAAACUUAAUAAUACAAGAAAGAACUAUUCAUAUUGAAUUUUAUGCUAUUAUUCAAUCACUAUGAAACAUUAUUUAAUCUAAGAAGAAUUUAUCUUAAAUUUUGAUUAUGAAACUCUUAAACAUAUAAAUUCUCAAAUAAAUCUCAAGAUAAUAUGUAAAAUGAGUAACAUUUUUACAAUAGUAUAUAUUUGUCUUUAAGCGUAAAAACGAAAUAUAUAAUAAAGUUACAUAUGCACUCAAUUGAUUAUUUGUACUUCUUAAUGCUAUGUGUGACCAACUAAAAGGAUUUGAUGCAAUAAGAAAUAUUACUCUAAUGAUGAAGAUUUUAGAGUAAUAUGAGAGUUAUACAGAGUAAGAUUAUGUUAUGAAAGAUGAAUUUUCUUUGGUGGAACUUAAUUUUGUGUUUAUGAAUAUUCUCUAAGAGAGCAUAUUAUCUAAGAACUACACUGUGAUGGAUUAGAAGAUUAUUUUAUGAGAGACAAAAUAGUCUUUCUCAAAUUUUUUUGGCCUACAAUUUACUGACAUGUUGCAAGAUAUACCAUAGUUCAAAAGAGCAAAUUCAGAAUCUUAACACAUAUACUCCUUUACCAAAUCCUAAUGCCCCCGAAAAAGAUAGUAGUAUGGAUUUCGUAAUUAGUCUACCAAAAAAUUAAAAAGGUACAAUUCUAUUAUUAUUGUUAUCGAUCGAUUUUUUUAAAUGAUAUAUUUUAUUCCUUGUAAAAAGAUGAUAGAUGCUUCUAAGCUUUAUUUCAAUGAAGUGAUCAAACUUCGUAGAAUUCCUAAAUCUAUAGAGAUACUAAAUAUCUUAGUCAUUUUUAGAAAAGUUUAUAAUAGAAAUUUGGCACCUACCUAUUAUAUAGUAAUACUUAUCAUCUCAAAUAGAUGAACAAAUUGAAGAUGUAAAUAAAAUCUUGGGUAAUCUGCUACUACGAUGCUUUGUUAUAAAAAGACUAAAACAAUAAGAUCUCAUGCUAAAUUUGCUUAUAAUCACUAUCUAGAUUUUGCUAAAGUACUUGAAUCAUCUUUAUCAAGUUCAAAGGAAGAGGAUUUUGUCGUUACAAUGAUAAAAAUUCAUAAAGAAGUAAAGAAGAAGCUUGAAGCUAGCAACCAAGCUUAUAAAGAAAAUACAUCAUGUGAAGAUCUUUGAAUAAGGAGAUCUUGUUUGGGUUUUUUUGUGAAGAGAGAAUAUUUUCCACCAAAAAUGCACAUUAAAUUCAAAAAAAAUUAAAAUUGAUCGAGUUCUUAAAGAAAAUUAAUGAUAAUGCUUACAAGAUUGAAUUUUCUCUUAAUGUUCACACUUAGGAUUUAUCAAUUUAUCGUAACAAUAAUAAUGAUAACCCAUGGACGAGUUCUUCCUUACUUACGUUUAACACUUAUGAUUUAUCAAUUUAUCAUAACAAUGAUGAUGAUAACUGUUAUUGUAAACAACUUUAUGUCGUGGCCUCGAGGCCGACGUGGCUUGGUUGGGGUCCGAAUGACGAGGAUCUGGCACGGCCUCCCUCGAGCUCGUCCGGGUUAUCGGUUAUGGUGGUCUGGUUAGGUUGUGGUGUUGAGAGGAAGGCUUCUCCGCAGCGCCAGGAAGAAGCAACCCCGUCCUUGCACCUAUACACAGGUCGGGUCAGAAGCUCGGCUCAACCCCUCCGACGAUCAAGUUAAUGGAUGUAGAGGGAAUUUUGAGUGAAGAAGUCCCCAUCCUAGCGCUUAGAACUCGGGAGUAUUUAUAGGGCAGUUUAGUGUUACCUGAUGUGCCUGCCCGCAGGAGCAGGAUCGUACCUCUGAUGGCGUCUGACAUUGCCAUUGGCGUUGCGUGGAGAAUCGAGCUGCCGUAGGGCAUGGGCGAGCCUCGGUCGUCGUUCUCCUUUGCCUCGGCCAAGCAUGUUGGGUUAGACAACGAUGAAGUCGUUGUCUGAGAGCGGGUGACGUCAGCGCAUAUCGCAUCGGCAUUAUUGCCCUCUUUCGGGUAGAGUAUCGUCCAGGCAUGGUUGACGUCGUGGCGCGUCAUGUCGCCAUUAUUACCCUCAUCAAUAACUGUGUUCUUUCUCACUUAGAAUGAUGAUGCAAUGAGCAUUAAAUGCUACAAGUUUUUAAGACAAUAAAUUUCAAAUUCAAUCGUAUCAAAUUUCAAGAAAAUAAUUCGUAUCUUGAGAUAAUUAUGAAAUUUCAAAGCUAAUAUGUAUGAUACCAAAUUUAAUAUGUAUUAUGAUUUAUAUUUAAUUUUAGUAAAUCAUGACUCAUUAAUUAAAUGAUAAAGGGAUUCUUAUACUAAGAAUCAAUAAAAUCUUAUUAAGUUUUUAACGACGGUCACCAAACCUCUAUUGGAUUCCUGCGAAAUCAGAUUCCAACUACAGUUCUCAUGCACACAUCCUGCAAGCGUUGGUUUCAAAAGAUCAAACAACAAGUUGACGCCUUGGAUUUGCAAUUUACUGCUAAUAUGGAGGAGAUAAGAACCAAUAAAUAUGUGAUUACAUUCGGUGUAAUUAAUAGGGAGUCUGAUAAUCCACAAUAACCUGAUGAUGAUUUCAUUUUACGAUCAGUAAACGCUACGAUUAAUUGUCUUAUGUGUUUUGCAAUCCCAAAGACACACGAGAGAGAGAGAGAGAUGCGGAUUCGGGUACUUUGGUAAUUUUCUUCGUAUCGAGUGGCAUUGGUCAAGCAAAAGAUGCGAUCCAACGAGUGCCUUCGCGGCUGCUGUGUCCCGUCUGACGCACCAAAAAGGAUCUCUUUGUCUUCUUGUUGUCCUAAAUAUGGGGCCCGUAUGGAAUCUCGCGGGACCCGGUAAUGAAGGCCUGGUGUAAAUUACAUUUUUCCUGUAUGGUAUCUCGGCCAAGUCAGGGGUGCUGCACUCCGUUUGCCGCUCUUGUUUCUGACCACUGACAUCGUCGCACGUAAUAAAUCGCAUUAAAGAAUAAUACCACGGCACGGCUCUUUUAUUCCCCGCGCCCUCUCGGAUUGCGAGCUCUCCCCUUUCUUCCCUUUCCACUCCUGCCUCCCAUGUAACGAUAUUUCCGCCCUCAGUAACCCUGAUUUCGACGAAGGAAGCGCAGCAAAGGUUCGAUUUUUCCUCGAAACCCGCGACUUGACUCUGUAAUUCGAACGUUUUUGCCUGCAAUCUUCGUUCGGUUCGGGCCGAAUUCCUCGUCGUCUUCGGUUCUUUGACCUUCGGAAGGAUUUGGGAUCUUUGUCGAAGAUUCCGGCGGUACGUUGUCACGUUCUCCGAGAUUGGUAAAUGAUCUUUGUUGUCGUAGAUUAUUUAGUUUUGGUUCCAAUACGGAGGAGGAGAGCUCUAAAUUGCGGUCUGACGACCCGGAAGAGUACUAGGGAAGUGAAACCCCAGAAAAGAUGGCUUCUUUGGGUGAAAUAAAGGUGGAGCUCAAUGGAGAAAUGGGCCAUGAAGAGCCUCCUCGGUUCGUUUCCCCGAUUGAGAUAGGUGGUGGAGAUCCAGCUCGGGAGGACACAGCGUGUGUUUCUCCAGCGGAAGUUAUUUCCUCUCCUGGGGUCGUGAAGGCAAACGAUGAUUCACUCGCGCGAUCGCCUUCGAAUCCGGUGGGAUCUCGUUCGGGUGAAGCGACCCAGGUGGUGCCGUCGAAGCCGGCCCCUUUGAGGGGUUAUGGAUUGAAGAGGAGGAGGAGAAUUAGGAGGGAUACGAGCAAAGAUGUAAUAAGCAAUGCUGAUUCUGCUCAGAUUCUGGGACGCAGGCUUUCACACGCGGAGCCGUCAAAGGCUCGUGAUGAUAACAAGCACAUGAGCGAUGGAGAGGGUGAAGGUAAAGGUUCAGCUGCUUCAUUGGCGUCGAUGAACAUAGGAGGCACUCCUUUUCUUGUCGCCCCCACCUCAUUAGAUCCAGAGCUCGAUUUCUUAGUCACAGCUGCUGGUUUCAGUAUAGGCAUAGAUUCUGAGAAUAGUGAUGACCAUAGUAGUAAGUCAUCUACCGCUGCAAGUGCUCCAAGGCUGCCGUACGAAGCUAUUGGUCUUGGGAGGGACAGAAGCAAGCCAAGGAUUGGUGGUGGAAAAGGAUCAGGGCAUGCUGUCCAACAAAGAGGCCAACGGGCAAAAGGAGGCAGAAUCGAUACUGGUAAGAAAUUUAGAGAAAAUCGAGUUAAGAACGAGAUGGAGAACUCCUACUCAAGCAUUGAAUCUGACUUGAUGAGUUCAAAUAUGGCUUUUGUGCGUGUGGACAGCAUGGGUAGUAAUGGGAAGCAGAGUGAGAAAUCUAUCAACUUUGAUGGUGAACAGAGUGAUGAUGCUCGGCUAAGUGGGGAAGUUAGAUCAGGUUUCUACAUUGAGAAUGGGAAAGUUGGAGAUUCAUCAAGAGAAGAUUUAUAUGCGCAUCUGUCAGGGGAGGAGAAUAAUACUAAAAGUGAGAACAACCAACCAGGGACAGAUCUUGAUUCCUUUCUUGAGUCAAUUGUUUCUCUCCAAUUGAUAAAAGAAGCACUUGAAAAUGGUAUGCUACUUUGUCCUUGUAACAAUGAUCAGUAUGCCUUUUUUUCCCUUAUCCCUUUUCCAUCGACCUUUUUCCUAAAAUUUUUAGAAUAGCUUAUUAAGUUUCUGUAUCCUUUGGUCAAGAACUUUGAUAUUUCAUGUUCUAAAAAAGUUGUGCAGUCUUUUGUGAUCAAACAUGAUUCGGUUAGCCUAUUUAAAAGAUAUAGAGCUUAUUCUGUCGAGUAUUUUUUAAAAUCUUUUUGUCAUUGUGCCCUGGCAAAUGUAACCAUAAAUCGAUCAUCAGCAACUUUUUAGGAAAACGUUGCUGAAUUUGAGCCAAUUUUAGAUUAAAAUGUUCUACAAGAAACAAGAUAGAUGUGCCAAUAUGUAGACUGUCAUGUGACUUUGGUGCAGAUCCUUCAAGAGACCUGCAAAUAGGACGAUCCUAGUUUAAUCUUUGAUGCGCAGAGUGAUACAACUUAGAUUUCCUGUAUACUCAAUAGAGUCAUACAGGUUCUUUCUAAUGGACUCAUGUUCUAUCAAAGAUAUAUUAGCUUCACUUCAUAGCCUUUAGUGUUGCUUUAGAUCCACAUCUUGUAAUUUCUGAUGACUACUGUUGGCCUUUAUGGAAAUUCCAGGCUUAUGCUAAUGUUUUUUUGGCUGAAAUCUCUCUUGAUUAUGAGUGAGUAUCAUGUUGUGAGCAUCCAGGUUCUUUUGGGUCAUAAGCAAGGGCCAUCUCAUUUAAUUUGAGCUUUUUUAAAUGUUUAUUGAUUACAUGAAUUUUUUUUAAUCUUUUUUUGUUCUAUUGCAUAUUAUCCUGUGGCUUGUAAAUAGACGAUCCAACAAAUUUCAAAUGAAAUAAGAUCAAAAUGAUCCACGGUUAGGUUCUUAUCCAUGUGUGUAGAUUGUGAUUCCAGUUGCCCCCAUAGGCAUCUCUUUUGCAUGUGUUUGAGUAACAAAUAGUGCAGAUUUUCCCAGUUUGCAUGGUGAAGUUGCAUGGCAGGAUUACUUGUAUAAAUGUUCUUUCCUUGCUUUCUUUCAUAAUAACUUGUAAUUCAUAUUCAAGGAGUGAAACAUUUACACAGUUAUUGACUAUCACCUAGGAAUUUGGAGAAUACUGUUGAUGUAUCAACUCAUUUUUCUGGGAUUUCAUGUUGCUGAAAUAUAUAUGUGGUCUGGUCUGAUUUUGUCUUAGGACUCGGGUUCUGUAAUUGUUUGCAUUUCUCGUUACAAUUUGAUAUUCAUGAUUCAGAAGAAAUAUCCAUUAUGUCCCACAUGAUGGUGCCUAAUGUGUUCUUUUUGUCUUUUUCCGAAUUUUGAUGUCGAUGAUAAAGUUAUCUAUUUUUAUGGCAUAUCUACAGAAAUCCAAAAUAUUGGGGGAAUUGCAAAAGACACAAUAUCUGAUGAUUCUGACAACCAAUAUGAAGAAACAGAAGGGACUAGCUCCCCAAGUGUCGAAGCCAAAUCUGCUGAACUAAACCAGAAGAUAGGGCAUCUGGAAGGCAAAUUAGUUGAAGCAGUAACCAAUGUCAAUGCCAAGGAAUCAAAAAUACUUGAGCUUGAAGCGAUCCUCAAGAAGAAGGAAAGAGAAUGUACCAAUCUUUCGUUCCUUCAAGAGAAGUGCAAGGUGAUGGAGGUUGAGCUUUCAAACCUGCUCGAGAAGAUUAUAGAGGCAGAAAUCGGGUACUUGGUCAUGACAAGAACUACUCAAAGUUGUAGUGUUCUAGCAGAAGAUCACAUUUCUCUUCUUGAGGAGCAGAGAUCUCCAUCUGGGGUUCCGUCAAAGAUGAUGCUUACGGUGAACAGUGCUGAAAACAAACCUAUGAUGUUAAGAAGAGGAGCGGAGGAACUAGAUAAGGAUAUAUCAGUGACCCAAGAGGUCUUGAGACUGCAUGGUAGAGUAUUUAAGUACUCUCUUUGUCUUUCUAUCGAGACAGUGAUACUGUGUAUUGUCUUCGUCUUGUUCAUCAUGCAAUUAUUGCCGUCAUAUAACGGUGUCACUCCCACGUAAUUUUAGAGGAAAAACCCUGUGUACCUUCCAUGUGUUUUAGGAUAUUUCUGUGUAUUUAGUUCUAAGGAAAGACGAAUUUAAUCAUUUCCUGCCUAAUACUUUUCUGAACCCUUGACUUAGGGAUCUAUUUAAUGUUUAUAAUGUCUGUCGAUUGCAUAUUUUCAUUGUAUUUGGCAAACUAGGUGGUCUAGCAUUUUUAUUAAGCUUUUGGUGAGAAAGGCUCAGUGUGUUUAUACGACAACCAAUGUCUUUUGCUGCUUAUUAUUAUUAUUUGGUUAUGACCCAAGUUUGGACAAUAAAACAUUUCUUCUUCUUUAAAUCAAAAGACUCAUUGCAUAUUGGUGAGUUCAUUUCUAAAUUGCUUGUGUUUCUUAGUAUUUUUAUUUUGGUGCAACAUUGUUUAUUUGGCUUAUUUCUGAAUCUGAGUGAUAAUCAAUUUUCACUUUGAAAUUCUCCGUAUAUGUGUUCUGCUUGAUAUGGAUAUGAGAAGAAAGAGAAAACAUAACAUCAAGAUUUACUCGUAUAAUUAUAUAUAUAUAUAUAUAUAUAAUGUAAAGGAAUGAAAAGAAGAAGAAGAAAAACAUGGUAUAAGCAAUUUUUUUGCAUUGGAUAAAGAGAAGCAGUAGCACCCCACAAUGAUAAACACACCGUCAUCACAUCCCUAUAUACAUAUACAUGUAUAUGUAUAUAUGAUCCCGACAACAACAAGACGUAGGUAUAUAUAUAUAUAUGGGAAGAAGGUUCAACCAAAGAAAUUGGGAUCGUAUCCAUUGCUGGAGGUGGCAAGGAUGUAGUAGGCGACGAUGUGGCCGAUGGAUCCCCAAGCAAGCACGUCCACGAUGUUGAACCCCACCGGAUCGUUGGACUUGAGCAGCGCGGAGAACUCCUUCGCCCGGUUGUCGCCCGCCUCGAAGUGCGUCACGCCGUUCUGCUCCGGCAGGCCCUGCUUCGCCACGUUCUCGCGCUGGAAGUUGAAGAAGACGAACCUGCCCAGGAAGAGGGAGAGGCCGGUGCUGAGGCUGAUGACCAGCGACGGGUUCAGCUCCGACCGGAUCGAACCGGGUUUGCGGGCGCAGCGGGAAGGCUUGACGGCGACGGCCCGCGUCUGGGGCAGCUUGCAGGAGUCGGUCGGCUUGAGGGGUCGGAGGCCAUGGAAGGAGGGGGUGAAGACAGUGGAAGCCAUGGGGGAGUUUGGCAGGGAGUACUGUUUGUUCUCACUCCUCUCUCUCUCUCUCUUUUCUUUAGAUAGAAAAAGGAAGAGUGAAGAUGGGGAGUUGGAUGCCGUUCGCAGAUAUGACGAUUGUGGUGGCAGUCUGGUGGGCUUGUGGUGGUGGCGGUGUGAGGUUUUGUGGGGCGGAGGAUGGAUGAGAGGAUUCGGCGGAGAUGGCGUGGGUGGAAGUGAUUGGCUGAUGGCGGAUAACAUUUGUAGAUUACACUACAUAUAUAUAUAUAUACUUUGGCGUUUCGGAGGGCAGUCGAGACGUCCAGAGUGGGACCCAUCCAAGUUGGAAUAUUGACUCCUUAUUGCGGUCAGACUUCAAGGUGAGAUUGUUGAACGGCUUGCAAGCCAAUCGAUGGUAUCGGAUUGCGGCAUGUCGACGAAGAGCAGUUCACCGACAAUUCUUGCUGCAUUUGCUGUUUAGAUUCAACUGAUCUGCCACAAGACUAUUACGAUGCGAUCAACCUGCUAAGUGCACGUUAACAACUACGCAAUUAACAAGUACACAAAAUCCAAUCUAAUCACUUUUAUAUUGAAUCAAAGAUAUCCAAUAUCAAAGUCCCAAAACCCGAGAUUUAAUUAAGAACGACAAAACACAAAAAGGAUCGCUAUUACUCCAAUUCAACGUUGCUUUGAACCUCGAGAAAAAGUAGCUGUUGCCUUCACUGCUACAUGUAGUAAUUUAGCUUUCAAUGAUCCACAUAUCUUAGACAUGAGCAGAAACUUUUUAUGUGCUGCUGUGAGAGAGCAGAGCUUGACAUUUUGUGCAAUGCUUUUACACCAGAUAAGUCUAGUUGUGCCGCCAAGGACACAAUUCAAAUGAAUAGUGAAUACUGUCGUAAAUUUAGGCCUAAUAGAUAGUAAUCAGAGAAAACCUUUAGGCGUCGAUCCCUCAUCAGUAUAACAUAAUCCAAACUCGUGCUUUCUUCGUGUAAUGCGCCAGUUGGUAAGACUUGUCAUCAUAUAGUUUGACGAUGCUGAUGAUGAAAUGGUUGGGUGAAGACAAUGGAACUCCACCGGGCGGUAACUGAGCCAGGAUCAAGCAUCAAACUGCAGCGUUACGUAUAAUUUCCGUUACUGCAUCCAACAAACAGAACUGGUGGACAAGCUCAAGAUAAAGAAGAAAAACGAAGAAAAUAAAACAGUAAGGGGAAAUGACACAUGUAUUAUGUAUGAAUUUUGCUCUUUGCUUGCUCUUUUUGCUUCUUUUACUGGACCCUCUAGUGUCUGGCUUGGCAUGCCAAACAAUCGGCUCAUAUGAGUUCUGUGCAGUUCGAUCAUCAUUCCUUCCCCUUCUUUUUCUCUUUCUUCUCGAGAAAAAAACAAAAAAGAUGUAUGGAAGGAAUUAUGUCCUUUUGGUUUCAAUCAGAACAUCAGAAGUGUAAAGUUACUGUGUCACAAGGUAUCAACAAAAUUUUCUUCUCUGCACCAAAAAAAAACAUGAAACCAAAGCCAGUCAGGAUUAGUGUAUAAAUACAUAGUAAAUCAUAAUUGCAAGUUUAACACGGAAGUAACAGAGUGAUAUGGAAAAAAAAAUCCUAUAUAUAGGAGCCACGAUUAAUUGACUAAAGACAGAUUAUCCACAAAGGGAUCUUACAUCCUACUAAGGUAAGGCAGACUGACUAUUUGACAAAUUUAAAAGUCUGAAGAAUUGUUUGAUGCAAGGUCAAUGUCUGCAAAAGCAGAAUAAAAUAAAUCAAACUCAUUACUUGAAAUGAAUUUCACCCAUUUAUUUUUCCGUCUAAAACAUAUAAACUGAGACAAUAAAUAUAAAAAAAACGAAAAACAAAAGCCUGCUUUUGGCAGAUAACAAACAGGAAAAGUAAGCCCACCAAGUAGCUAAUGUAGUUAAAGUUGUGUUGCAACUGACCAUCUAUAAUAUGAUAAUGGUGUUUCUCAACUUACCCUAACACUGGUGUCAUUUAGAGAUUCUAAAGUUGCUUCGAUCUCCAAUUGCUUCAUCACAGUUGAUUGCAGCACCUAAAUGGAGAAAUUGAGAUCAGAUUAACCCGACCAAGAUAUAACAAACAAAUUACAAAGAAAAUUUAUGAGAAAGACAAAUAGAAACAAGAUACAUAUUAAACAGUAAGAGAGCUGCAAGGACUGAGCAGGACCAAGGAUAUCUCACAUUAUAGGCCAGCCAUAAAUAUAUCCAGGUUGCAGACUCAUGGAUAAUAUUUAGAAAACUAGAAACGUUUACAUAUUUGACAGAAAAACAACAAAAUUAACAAAUAUAAAAGAAAAUGAUUUGUUCAUUUAUUAUCCUCUAUAAGAUCGAAGGACUUCUGUAUCCAAAAAAGUGAGACAUUUGACCACACCAAACUGAAACUUUGAUGGAAUGGCUGUUUCAAAAACAUUGUAAAUGCUGCACCAACCAUGUCAAAUAGAGAAACAAAGGCAUCCAGCCAGCUCUAAGAAUUGAAUCAUAACAUUUACACUGGCUAAACUCUAGCAAAAAGUUCUUUCAAAUAAUUGCAGAAGUUAAUGUGCAAAAUGCUUGGAUUUGGUAAGAUAUUAAAACUCAAAUUUCCAUAUUUGAAAAACUAAGAUAUGAAACAUCAUCUCAAAUAAAAGAGAAGACUGCGCCGAAAAACAAGAAAAAGAGAAGAUAGGACUUACUUUAUUUGUCUUGUGAAGAUCAAACUCAACAUUUUUUAUCCUGUUCAUUGAAUCCAGGAUUGCAUGUUCUUUCUCUUGUGGAAUCUCUGCAGGUUUGCGGCUAAGUUCAUUCAAUAUCAACUCAAGCUUCUCGAGGCGUUCUAUGUAAGGAGUGACUUUAUCUUCCUUGACAGCUUCACUCACUGUAUGGUUAUCAGGUAUCAGGCUCGACACAUCUGAUGGAUGAACAUUCUCCAAUCUCCUUUCUGGUCUCCUUCGAAAAAUUCGAAGGAAGGAUAACACUUUUACCAACAGCUUCAUCAAUGCUCUAGAAAUAUAUUGUAGUUUUCCUUCUUCGGCAUCAUCCUUGAUAGUAUUGUGUCUAUCAGUUGACAAGCCACCUGGAAGUACGAAAAAUAAACAUAAAUUUUCCAAAUUAUCAAUAUUAUGUAGGUCAACUUUAACAAAAGCAAAAAACAACGACACUUAGUUAACAUAAAGAUACAUUGCCAAUAGAACUCACGAAUUUGCUUUUUAUGACCAAAUAGGGUUACUAUUUUUGGUAAAGAGGGUGAUUUUGUUGAAAUAAAAAUGUUGCAGAUGAAUAGAAUAAAGAAUUAAUUGAUAAUACCUAGGGAAUUUGAUGUUCCAGUGGCAAAAGCACAGCCAUCAUCUUUUAUUUCAGUGGAUGACUUCAAAGCAGAUCCUGCUCCUUUUCCACCAGAUUCUACAGGCUUAAAAACUGAUACCAAAUGUUCAUCACGGCUGAAGUAGUAACCUGUUGAAUCUGCAGCUCUAACCUGUGAAGAUAAUGACAAACAAGGAAAUUCACUAAGUUUUUUUAGUAAUUAUUACAUCAAUUGAAGAGCUUAAAAAUGAGAAACCACAUAGUACACUCAAGAAAUGCACAAAGCAGAUAGAAGGACAAAGUGAUUGAAUAUUAGUGACUGAUUGAACAUGAGCUGAAAAUGAUUAUGGCUAAGCAGUACAGGAGCUAGAUAAAAUGGUUAAUUUUGAGUAUAUUUUAUGAGAGAAAGUUUGCGACAUAGACCAGGUAACAUAAAAAAAUAUUAUGAUACAUGAAUGUCUAAGAUAUAUACAACUUAAGUUGGUUCCAUUCAUCUGUAACCUGUUAAGUGCAUCACAUGGACGAAUUUGGCCAGCAAAAUAAAUAGCAAUGUCAAGUGAUACUAUUCAAACAUGUCAUCGUGCUCGUGAUAAAAAUAAACUAAAACAUAAUGAUCUUCAGGAGAAAAUAUCCAUUGAACCAGACUUUGGAGAAGAAUAAUAGGCCGGAAAUAUGAACAAGUUAUGUAGUGAUCUGGGAAAGGAUUACACAUAAGUACUUCUUAAAUUUCCUAAAGUGAUGAACCAAUUGAAAAAUUGAAUGAAAUCUUAUCUUUGCAGAAGAUAUAGUUAAGAAGUUUUCACAAACAAAUAAUGUAUAAAUAGGCAAAGGAAAAAAAUGAUAAUCUUUGACAAAUUUUUGACAGGAAUAUUCAGAAUAUGCAUCUGCCUUUGGUCUCCUUCACUGAGGAAACAUCAACUUAGAAGAAUCUUUCAAAAUGAACUAUGAUGCUUUCUUUAAAUAUAAUUAAUCCAAAUAAGGUGAAAAUGAAAUCCUUAUUAUAUUCCUUGCUGAAGUACCAUUUUUUUUCUGUGCAAUUAAUUAUCUUCCAAGUAUGAAUUAUCAUGCUUACCAUAAUAUCAUGAAGCAUUUCCAACACAGAUGAAGCUGGUAAUUGAAAAAUCUUAAUAGUUAAUACUGACUAUUUAUUUAGCAGAUACAUCAAACUCACUUCUUCAUUAACUGGGGCUAAAUGAGUAUAUUCAGCAGUGCUAAAUAUGACAGGAGAACCUAGAUCGUCAGCAUCAGAUCCUGAUUCGGCAGUUGACGUAUCGCUGUUUCUUCUCUGCGAUUCAUAGAUAUGAAGUCAAUAUAGCAAUAAGGGGUAGUAGAUCAUCUACAAAGUCAACUACAGUAAAUUAUUAGCAAUUCAGCAUCCUGCCUUUAACUGAUGUCGCAUACGAUAAGAGGCAUUGGCCUGUUCUCCAUCAGAUACAUGUCUGAUUUCCCUAAUACAUGCUGCUCCAACACUAUUUACAAUCUACAGAAAAAAGAAGGGUCAUAGAUCUCUCAGUUGAUCAAAACAGUUGUAUUACCAUGGCAGAGUUUCACCAUAAAUAAAAUGUGAUAUCACAUCAAUAAUGACGAUGAGAUUCUUACCUUCAUUAUAACUGGGUCAUUCCAUGGUCCUUUAUUAGAUCUGAGGCACCCUCCUUCACUGUAGCAAGUACAUGAACCACCUAGGAAUUCUGGCAAUUGGCUGGAAGUAAAAAAGAAAAACACAAUUAAUCUGCUAAGCAAACCCCAAGAGCAUGAAAUGACCCACCAACCUGGAGUCGAUUGCUUCAAGAAGUUUACACUGGUACCUUGUGCCUAGUACCUGUACAUGGCAUCAACUAUACCUAUCAUUCAGAACAGAAGCAGAAAGACAAAGUAAAUGACAUAAUUCUUCAAAAGAAUCGAGCCUACAUGUAUCUUUGAAGUUGUUUUGGGAUCAAGAAAUCCUUUUACAGUAUUCCAGAGAAGCUUAAAACCAUGGCCAGCAUUAACUAUGAACAUUUGGUGUAGCGUCUGCACAAAAUUAAACAAUUUAAGACCUUCCUCCAAUAUUAAGUGCUACGUAAGACAAAUAUCUUACAUAAAUUUACCUCGGGAUAGUAGUCGCCAUCUAUCUUAUGCAUGUUAAGCAAGAGAUCCCUAGCUGUCUUGCUGAAAUUCUUCAAGCCCUAUAAUCCACAGUGGUGAAUAUAAGGUUCAGAAUAUGCUAACACCAAGAUCACAAGAAGCAACUCAAUUGAUGGUUGGAGGUAGAGUAACGCAGAGGUGGGCAAUACAUGUAAUUUAACUACAGAACUAGCCAUAUCUUUUCUUCAUUGCAAUUAAACAUAAGAAUGAUAUAGGAACAGAAGCUAAUAUUUGAGUUCCAAAAUAGCCAAGAUUGCAUCUCAUUGAGCUGGAAUAAUUAAUACCAAAAUAUUAUAAUAGUGGUAAAUACUCGAUAAAGUUUCGAGCCUAUGAUAACUCUAUUUGGGUGUCAACAAUAAAAUAUCUACUUGACUCACAUUUUCAUAAAGUACUGUUGAGAACAAUAAAUUUGACAUAGCAUCUUUAUCCAUUGUCUCAUGAUAGCAUCUAUAAAUGGUGAGAGUUUAAUUUAAUGGAUUGUUGGAUAUAGAAUAUGUUUCUCAUAUAUGGAAAAACAUUUUACUCUAAAAUUAAAGAUGAGACAUUUUAUUUAACAUCAAUGAUUAUCUGUGUUCAUUGACUCCAAUUUCUUAAUGCUCUUUUGCACUUUUUAACAUCUCAUUUCAAGUCCUAGUGAGAGAAAUUAAAGGUACCACGUGCUAUCUUUCAUAAAACAUCACAUGGAACAUGUAAUGGUCUAUAUGUAACCUCAUUUUCUGAAGUUUGUUUUCAUCAUAUUCUUCAGCAUCUUCUAAUAAAACUAUAAGAAGUGACAAAUGGGGGCAUAAAUGCUACAUCAUUCAGGACAGAGCCUAUGUUACGGCAGGUUAAGACCAUGCAAUAUAUUAUUUGAAACAUGUGCGCUUCUAUCUACAGCACAAUAAAGAAACCUUGUGGGAAGGUAUGCAAGCGACAUACCACACCAUGUACAUCUAGUAUUGUUGUCGCUGAACCAAUAUGCCUUUUGGCAGCAAUAGAGCAUGCAGGAAAUUUCUCAUGCAGGGCUCUCUCAAACUCUUGCACAUGAUAUUUUAAGUAGCGAUCUAUUGUAGUUAUGUGCAUAAGCUUAUUGGGCUCAACUUUCCCAAGUCUCUCAAUGUACACAGGCCUUCCCUCCUUAUCAACUCCAUGGUAACCCUGAGGAUAAUACUGCAAAACCUCCUCCAGCUCUUCAAACUCAAAGUCCUACAGUUGAACAAAAUUUAGUAUCUCCAUCAGAUAGCAUUCAUAAGAAAAUGAACUCUUUGAAUAUACUCAUGAUUUAAGGUGAACUAAUACACAUGUGAUGAGUCAUGCCUGACGUCCAUCUCAUGCAAUGGAAACAAUAAAAUGAAAUAAAAGUUUAAUAUGAUAAGAUUAUGGUUGCAUUUGAAGUUACAUGCUAGGUUUGGUUUUUUAUGAGCAUGUCAUUGAUUACAUUUUGUUGCACACAACUUAUAUAGGAAACUGGUGCAUUUGGUGGAGGAUUUCUUGUGGAUGGAUUUCUUCAGGCCUUCUUAUAUCCUACUAACCAAUAGACAAUUACACUAAAUGGCUCAAUCAAAUAUCUAUGUGUUUCUUUAUUUUCUAAAGAGAGGAGGAGGGAUCUAAAAUCUGUUAUCCCAUAUUUCAGAGACAAAAUGAUCAAGCUUAACUUUUCAGGGUUUUGAGGAUCAUAAGAUGACUAGAAUAGAAAAUUUUAGGGACUAAAAUGUUACUGAUACAAAGUGUAAAGAAAUACUAAAGAGCUGCUGGUGAUGAAUUACAUGGGAUUAUGUCACACUCUUUUGAUUUUCAUGUAUGAUACUUGGGGCAUGUAAAACUGCUGCAUGGUCUGUGAAGGUAACCUUACCUCCAGAAUCGAGUCUGUUCCAAAUUCUUCUCUCCAUUGAAGCAUCUCAGCCCACAUUUGGAUUGUUUUCUCAAAGUCGAACCUCCUAGCUUUGAGGAAUCUGCAUGAAAUAAACAAAAGACAUAACCACAAUGUUCUAAAAUAAGCAUAUCAUACAUAAAAUUCCACAUUUUACAAAUAUGUCAUAGUUAAAACUGCAAACAAGGGGGGAAAAGAAAAAGACCACACAUUAAGUGAUCAAACUAUUAGAAACAGAGCUCCUAACCUGAGUAUCGUAUGAUAAUCAUCAUGUUUAUCAGGCAAUAGUUCCUUGGCAAUGAGUUCUUGCCGGAAUGCAUGAACUGCUUGCUCCUCCUCAGCAUCUCUCACAUCCUCGAUUGAAAAUGAAGGAACCCUGAAAUCAACUUUCCUCUUACCUCGCUUCUUCAGAGAAUGAGAGAAUUUAGUGGAAGCAUGCAAUGCUUUCUUCCUAAGAGACGCAAUUCUUGUUCUUCUGCGCUCAUCCUCGUAGUUCUCCACAUCAGGCCUUGUUUCUUUUCUUUCAUCGUAAGUAAAAGAUCCCUCAGAACAUUCUGCAAGGAAGAACAUUGUACAAGUUGAGAAGCAGGAAAACUAAACAGUUCCAUGUAUUCAUUUGAGAUUUCUGAAGGCCAAACAAACCACCUACCUUUCAUUUUCUCACAAGUCAUAAGAGGAACCUUUUUCUCAAAACUCGGCCUUCAUAUGUGUUUAACUGCAACUGAUACCUACAAAUGAGAAUCGAAGGUCCAUACCCUGCUGUUAUAUUAACAACAAAUUCAAGAAAAGAGAAUAAGAAAUCGGACAGAGAAGGGAAACAAGAAAGAAAAGCAUGAUACUCUUCGAUCAUGAAAACUUUUAGACCUGAUAAAUACUAUAAAAUACAACAAAAAAGAACCAAGAUGUCAUCUUUCUAACGCUCUUAUCGUUCCAACUCAAGACAACACAGCGCACGAUAGAUCCACAACAAAUCUAGAGAUGAAUCGAUCGGUAAAAGGAAGACAAAGCAUCAGUUACCUCGGGGAGAGCUCCAACAUCGCCGAGAUCCAGCCGCAAGGAAACCGGAGUGUCUACCGGAACAAGUUUCCCGGCACCUGCAUUUGUUCAGAGGUCAUUCAAGUCGACGAAUUAAAUCCCCUUCUCAGACCGACACCCGCCAUAAAUAUCCGUUAGCCCCAUUCAAGAUCCAAUUAAACCCAAAAGCGAUUCUCUUAAAGCCAAUCUGACGAAACCACACAAUCACCCAAUCCAAAAUCCAGGAGAAGAGAACCCUUCCCACUCCCCACUUGCUGAUCCGAACACCCCAGAACCAAUCGACACAAUCCAAGAUCUCGAUUUACCAUGACAAACCAGCUAUUGAUCUUUACCUCUUUAAGGCCUCCCGACGCGGCAGCAAAAACCGAGAUCUGAGAUCCCACCGCAGAGCGAAUCACAUAAAUCACAACAACAAAAAUCGCAGCAGGCUUUUGGCGUCUGGCAGAGAGGAAUUAGUUAGGAUGAGUUUAAAUCGCCGAUCCGUUUUGUUAGCACUUGCCUAUAAAAACGGGCGCAUAGGAAAUCCCCAUGCGGUAUUUACGUAUACCUAAAGAUAAAUGAUCUUCUGUUUUACAUGCACUUAGUCAAACACUCGCUCAGCGGAACACCCCAUUCCAUGGAUGACACGACGACGUGGAUUCCAAUAUCAUCCCUGUCGGGUAGACAGCAUCGCUCGUUUCGACUGUGAGCACCAUAAAUGCUCCGAGUAACAUCUAAAUCACCGGAGGCCGCCAAUGGAUGGAUCGAAUUACGAUAAAAUUAUAUAUUCUAUCCGAUGAAUUCUGUGGUGGUUAGCCCAGUGGACACGGAAAGAACACAUCUUUGUACCUGAAUUGGGCAAGAAGCUGCCAUGAAAGGGAAGUACUGAUGCAUAAAGGCUGUUCGAUUAAGCCAGCGUGGGUGAGGUGAUGAUUCUUUCUUUCUACCUAAAUCGACCAAAAGCUGCUUUGGGAAGGGGAAAGUGAGGUGACGAAAUCAAUUUGUGGUUGGUUUCUUUUGCCUUUGGAGCUUCACGGUGAUGAUGAGUUAAUAUGUUUUAUACUAUAAGAUAUUCUUGCAGCAGACAGUGGUGUAAUGGGGAAGGCAGAAAGCAUGAUUUCGAUGCAUGAGGCUCCUGUCCCUACAUGAGCUGCAGAGGUUGAAAUGUCUAUCAGAUGAUCCCCGGCGAAGAGAUUAGAAUAUUACUAUCGAGGAAGAUUGAGCUUCAUUGUGUCUCUCUGUCAGCAUCACUGUUUACUUGCAUGCUUCAAGACCAAAGCGAGCAUGUUAAGGUUGAAUCGAUCCGCAAAUUGCGGGAUGUAUCGAUGCAAGCCACCCCCUUCACAAUCAUAAUUCCAAACGCAUUCUUGUCCUUCUUCCACAAAUGCCAUGCAUCUCAUGACCACAUCAGGGAGUGAGGUAUUGUACUUUCAUCUUCGGGGUUACUACUACAGAAAUGGAAAUCGUUGUUACUUUGGCUUGUGUGGAUGGAUUCCGAUCGUCGGAUGUGUGGUGCCCGCCGAUCCCACGGCUCUGCACAGAGAUUCCUAUCGACAACCAAAUAAUAAUAGAGUUGCAACAGAGGAGUACUGAGAAUGUCAGCAGCGGUGCUGUAAUAAUGUGACUGGAAGAUGAGGCUGUCAAUGAGAUAGAGACGACGCCAUCCCACGCUCCCGGACCAGUCGAGUAUUAGGGGAUCCACUGGACUCUUCUCUGUGUAGGAACCACUUUGCAGGGUUUGGCAUUUGCAUUUGUCUUCCGCAAGCUCACAGGAGCAGCCAAGAAGGUGCUGUUCCUGAUCUAGAUCACGAACCCUGAUGGCGACACUGAUGAGACCACUCAUGAGCAAAUUAUUGGAGCAUUCAAAGUUGGAGUCUGAGGAUUUCCCGGUCUCAUCAGCUUCUGCCACAAUGCCUUUUGCAGUCCUCAAGUAAAUCCAAUUAAUAUAGCGUGUGUUCCUUGAAUUUCUCUCCGGUUUCACUGCCUAUUCGCAGUCUUAACCACUGGUUUUAGGGAGGAGGAUAAGACAUGCAAAGCGUGUCGGCCUUGCUUGACUUUGUCAUGUUCCUGAUGAGAAGUUUUCCUUGUACGCAUCACCCAUUCUGCCACUACGAGAACUUGACCGAGAAAACGCAAAAAUUCUCUUCACAUGCUUCUUCUGUCAAAGCUCAACUGAGAAAAAGCAGACUCAGAGCAAAAUAUUCUUCAGAGUUUGGCAAAAGAUACCCACAUGACAUGCAAAAGAACACUGGUGCUCUUUGUUUGAUUUCUUGCUCAUGUGUAGUGAGUCACAAAAGUUCCUAAAAGGAAUGCAACGUUGCAAAGAAAUUCCUAUCUUCCCUCAGCUGCCAAGCAACUUCCAGCCUGCCUUGGUAGCAAAAGGAGAUUGCUGAGCCUCGUAAACCAAGAUAAACUCUCUUCAAGUUUCCUCCUCGCACUUUGCACAUGAGCUCAGAGUACUCCUCAUGAAACAGUAGUUCAUUCGGGGCAAGAAGUCAACAACAAGCAACUAGACAUAACUUUCUCCGAGAGUAAUGCUUAAAGCGACGCAACUGGCACAAAGGCAAAGGUCCUUUAGCUUGCGAAUCUCGAUAACUUGGAAGAGGCACCCAUGCAGCAUGUUCCUGUCGAGAUAGUAAGAUAUUAAGAAGAUGCUCAUAUACUUUUCUCAAUGGUAAGUGGUUUACUAAUCAAAUCACAAAGUUAGAGUUACGAUAAGAAAUCUCAACAUGUUAAAAUAGACUAUCCAACCACUGCAUGUUGCUAGUCAUAUCAGACUUCCUUUUAACAAGUAACUCCUCUUCAUGUUCUUAUUCAUCUACCAACAUUAUUUUUCUAACCAUCAUUUUCGCGGCUGACACCAAUGAGAUUCUUAUAAAGACAAUAAUUUUUUUUAAAGGAUAAAUUAGAUACCUUUAAGAUAAUAAUUAUUAUAAAAAAUAGAUCAGGAAUUAAUGACCUUUAUGAUGAUCACAAACUUGAUGACUGGCAUCUUUGUGGUCAUGUACUCAGCAACAUGGUAGUGAUGAAAGCCAUCUUUUGGCAUCAUGGAGGGAGUUGCUUGUCCAGCUGACCAAGUUGUAGAACUGUGGAGCAAUUCUAUCAUAUGAUUUGGGUUAUUAUUAGGAUUGUAGGAAUCUGCUGAUUCGUUGGCAAAUGACAGAGAGGAGGCAAUCCAUUUUUGGUGUUUCAUGGUCCUGAGUCGAUAAGAUUCGUAUUGUACUGUGAACUAGGAAAUGUUCAGUAGACAACUCAGCAUCUGCAAUGCAUUUAAUCGGUUGAGGAAGAUGCCAAGGAGGCUGGGCGAAGGAACACCGACAGUGCGGUGAAAUCUUCUGCAAAAUGAUUGGUUUCAUCCUGAGUUUAGAAAGGAAAUGGACGAGGCAGCAAAAGGGCAAGGGAAGGAGCGUGUCUCGGUAACAACAAUGGUGAAUCGAAUCAAAGGUGGCAACGAGGCGGCUGAGAAGUCGCUGUCUCUCCCCUCGACGCCGUCAGGUCGCUGUCCACGGUCGCAUCUUGAUCGAUCUCUCACCCUUUUAUGCCGUGCUUUCUCCUCAGGGCAUUCCGCCGGAGACAUUCCGACGGCUACGUCGUUUCGACGGCAAGGAAACGAACAAAAAUUUGUGGAAGAAUAACGUUGCAGAAGAGAGAGAGAGAGAGAGAGAUGAACGAACGGUACAAAGAAAGAGAUCUGUUGACUGCAUCACUAAAACCAAUUAUAAUAAACGCAAGCUAAAGCAUAUUAUUAUAUCUCUCCUCUUUGCUAACUUCUACAGGCUAAAUUUAAAUGUCAGAAUCCUGCCAUUUUGUAUAGCUGCACAUCAGUACGUGUUAUGAUGUGAUAGAAAGAGAAAAGCAUCCUGUGAAGGUGUCAUAAUUUUGUGUAUAAUACCAAGACAAAUGUCUGCUAGAAUUUGAUAAUUAAGCCAUAAUCUAAUGGUCUAUUUUGUGUGCUGGUAGCAGAGUUUGCUCAUUUGACCCACCCAAUAUUUCUCUUAUAAUAAUAAGAACAAGUUGAUGCUAAGUUUUACAAGGUGGAAAGGAUCCAUCAACAAACAAGAUGGAAAAUGUAGGCAGUACUAGUGAAGAAUGAUGUCAUUGUAUUAUAUAAUCUACUGGACAAGUUGCAGUUUUCACAGAUUUAUUUGACUAAGCUUCAGAUCUUUGACCUGUCAGGGAUGAACUUUGCCUGCUCUCUCUCUCUCUCUCUCUCUCUCUCUCUCUCUCUCUGAGCCCCAGACCAAACAAAAAGAAAAGAACAACACAAUAAUGUUUCUAUUUACCAGCUAGUUUCAUUAUCGUUGCAUCUAGCUAGAAAAGAUCUGCAUGACAAAAUAUGGACUGUCUGUUGAUGCAGAUGCAGCACGCAGCAUUUCAUGCGUGAGAGAUGUGCAGGAUUCAGAAUGUGCAGAACACAUUCCUUAGCCACCGACUUAGGAUCUGCUGGUGAUCAACAGGUGACAUUAAAGGUCGACCCGGGGAACUCAUGAGAGCUCGCUCCAGAACUCCAUGUAAAGGUACCUGUGUUCUGAAUCCCGGCUUGCAAUCUGAAAGAUGUUGGGAAAAAGUGGGAGGGGGGGGGGGAGAGAGUGAUGGAGAAGGGCAUCGAGAAGAGACAAAAGGCAGAGCAGAAGGGUGGAUUGUGUGCCAUGAAAGCAAGAGACAUGUCUCCUUCUGUGGGCUAGCGUUGCAUUAAACUUUACUCUCCUGUACAUCAACUUGAUGAACGUACAAACGCAAGGAUAAUACUUUGUGUCUCAGGCGAUCUCUUAAAAGCUAUACCGCAGCAUGUGGUUCUCUCGUGGGGCCCGAAAGUGAGAGGAAUCUUGGUUUGGUGCAUGUGAAUUCUAAAGGCAUCUGUUGGACGAAUUUUCAGAAAAAGAAAUAUUUAGUGCCAAAAAAAUUUCAGAGCAUCAUCCUCUUAUUCUUUUAAAAUUAUUUUAUUUCUAUUUUUAUUAGGUCAGCCACUAUUUUUACCUUGUUUAGCUGCUCUACCUCUCCUCCCCUCUGUGAUGUCGAUGAGGUGAGAGAGUUGUGUGUGGACACAAGCCCUUGAUCAUAACUUUGCUCCGUCGAUUGCCUCUUUCUCUUCAAAUUAUCAUGCACGAUGCUUUUAUCCACCUUCUUGUGCAUAGGCUUACUCAUUCUUCUUUCUCAUCUAUAGUUAACGAUAAGGGUGCACAGUCAUAUUUCCUCCUUUCUUGGUUAUAAUCCAUAGCGAGGAAGGUUUGCAGGUCACACUAAUGAUGAAGCUGACCAAUAAAGAGAGUGGCUAGGACUGUCGUGGCCGAUGCAUAGAGGUGACCAACGAUAAAAUUAACUAAGGAUAAAAUUAUUAUUUAUGAAAAAAAAAUUCAGUGAGAAUUUUUAAAAGUUGAAUUGCUAUGUAAGAAUUUAUAAAAACUAUAUAUUUUUUCAAGAAAAAAAUAUUUCUCUUUGAUAUAUAAACGUUUGCAAUAAAAAAUAAACAUCUGUUUACUCAAUAUAGUAAAGUUAUUAAAUAGAUUUCUUUGUCUUAGUCUCAUUAAAGCUAUCAUGUCUACUUGUUAUUUUUAAUAAAAAAAAUACAUUUAUUAACUUUUGAUAACAUCACAUAUUCAUUAAUUUUGAAGCUUCCUUUGUUUUAGAAUAUUUUAUUAAAAUAUGUGAAAACAACGUAGGAAUUGUAGCCAUAAGAAUAUGAUAUUUGUUAGCUUUCGGGAAUAUAUAAGUGAAGAACAUGGAAAAAGGUUUCUUAACUUAUAUGAUAUGCCGUACAUCAUAAACAAAGUUACAAGUAUCUUAAGGAAGCAUGUUAGAGAAAGAGGGCUAUAGAGCAUGUGAACUUGCUAUUUUCCUCAGAGUGGGCACCAUGUUUGAAGAUGGUCACAGGUCUCUCCAAUUAAACUUUGACCAUUUAUACAGGUCAGACGUUUGACAUGCUCAGGACUCCAACACGGUGAGACACCAGCGGAUGCCAACAAAAAGCUUAAGGUCUCCGAUGCCAAUCCCACUCCUUCAUGUGAUCCCCUCAGAGAUGGCAUCGAGCAGAGCAACCACCACUGUUGAUGUCAUGAAGAGGAGGCAAUGUCCUCUGAUAGCAGUGACAGCUUUAAAUAUUUGUCUUGGCCAAUGUAGCAUCCCCUUUGACAGGGUCAGGAAAGUUGCCUCCCCCAUAAACAAUCGCUGCCACUGUCAAGGGAAAAAAUAUAUGCUGUUCAACCUGCAUGGCACAUUGGUUGAAGAGCUCAUAGGAAGAUCUUGGAAAGAGCAUAGAGGAAAGGCCGGCCUGCGAUGAACGUACUGUUUACCGAUUCAAAGUGGAGAAGACCUGAAAUGGUAGUCAGAAUUCCAUGGGGCCAAGGCAUCAUCAUCAAAAGCAUGUAAAUAAACAGAUAAAAAGAUGAAAACACAAGUAAAUAAUAAAUCAAAAGCUGAGAAAUCAUUACCUAAAACGAAAAAGUCAACGUCAUGGGCCUCAGCAUGCGAGGAAAGAGUCAACGCCAUGGGCCUCAUCAUGCUCGCAUGCUGAGGCAAGUCAGGGUGAACAGCCGAAGGCAAGAAGUCAAGCAGCGCAUGCGUUGGAAAUUGCUCCUCCUGUUUGCAUUUUGACGAUACAGACAAACGGGUAUGGAGUCGACCGAAUUGUAACCCGUUAUUGUCAACGGGUGCGCUACCCGCGACCUUUCCGGAUCCGAUUUAACCAAUCGACAUUUGAAGGGGAGUAAAUGGGCCGGGCUGACCCCAAGCCCAUAAAAGAUGAACAUAGGCGGUGGUGCUUCUACGCACGCUGUUACUUGUCUCAUCCCGGCUUUAUUUAUGGCCAACCCCUUCUGCUUCGAUUCGACCCCCUUUGCGCUCCACGAUCUCAGCGGCGAGAGAGAGGCAUCGAAGAGGCUCUCCUUCCUUCGCAAGUCGUGCCGCUUCCCUAAGCUUCCAUGAUGAGGUAAUCUCCCCUGUCUACUCCCAGAUCUGUGCGAUUGGCUUUGCGUCACGCGGUUUCAGGGCAUUUCUCCUGUUGAAAGAUUGGAUUCUGGCGUUUUAUCUGCGUUAGAUCUGCAUUCGAGAUCCGGAUCUGUUGUUUUUUGUUUGGGAAGAUAAGCUUGUGUUCGUUGCUGCUUCGAUUUUUUUUAGUUCGCUUGAUGUGGAGUGCUUGUUCCGCUCCGGAUCUGGUUGACUGGGAGGCAUUUUGAGUGGUUUUAAUCUUCGCGAAAGAUUUGGUUGCUCGCUUCCACUCAGAUCCGUAGCUUCGGCUGCCGAAGAAUAAAUGAAAUCGAAUUCUUCGGUUGAUCUAAGGCUGCUUCUGGUUGCCGCAGGUUUCUUGAAUGAUAUUGUGAAUUCCGAAGGUGGUUGGGAUUGAGACCUUAGAUCUGAUACGCCGUAAGGAUAAAGAGGAGGGGAGGGUGACCACAGCGCGAUGGGGCCAACUUCGAACCCAGAAAGGUCUUCCUCUUUGUGUUUCUUGACUUUCUCGAUCGUGCUUUUGUUGUGUGGCUCGGGGAAUGCGUUUUAUCUCCCUGGUAGCUAUAUGCACACCUACUCGGAAGGCGAGAACAUAUGGGUCAAAGUAAAUUCGCUCACCUCAAUCGAGACCGAGCUCCCGUUUGGCUACUACACCCUGCCCUAUUGCCAGCCACAGAGUGGGAUCAAGAAGAGCGCGGAGAAUCUGGGGGAGCUUCUCAUGGGCGACCAGAUCGAUAACUCUCCUUAUCGCUUCCGUGUCAAUGUGAACGAGUCCCUCUACCUGUGCACCACAAAACCGUUGAACGAGCAUGAGGUUAAGCUCUUGAAGCAGAGGACCCAUGAUCUCUAUCAGGUGAACAUGAUUCUGGACAAUCUUCCUGUGAGGAGAUUCACCGAGCCGAAUGGAGUCGUCAUUCAGUGGACUGGGUUUCCAGUUGGCUAUAUCCCAGCUGGAAGCUCUGAAGCAUACAUCAUCAAUCACUUGAAGUUUAAGGUGUUGGUUCACGAAUAUGAAGGCCGUGGCAUGCAAAUCAUGACUACAGGGGAAGAAGGGAUGGGAAUGAUCGCGGAGACAGAUGCUAAGAACUCCGGAUAUGAGAUUGUUGGGUUUGAAGUGAUUCCCUGCAGUGUGAAGCGUGAUCCAGAGGCGAUGCUGAAACUUAACAUUUAUGAUAAAGUUGAUUCUGUGAACUGCCCGUUGGAGCUCGAGAAGUCCCAAACGAUUCGGGAGCAAGAGAAGAUCUCUUUUACCUAUGAGGUUGUCUUUGUUAAAAGUGACAUUAGAUGGCCGUCCCGGUGGGAUGCCUAUCUGACAAUGGGGGGUGCAAGAGUUCAUUGGUUCUCGAUCAUGAACUCAUUGAUGGUUAUCUUCUUUUUGGCUGGAAUUGUCUUUGUUAUUUUCUUGAGAACAGUUCGGAGGGACUUAACGAGAUACGAAGAGCUGGACAAGGAAUCACAAGCCCAGAUGAAUGAAGAGCUAUCUGGCUGGAAACUUGUCGUGGGUGAUGUGUUCAGAGAGCCAACCUGCUCAAAGCUGCUUUGCGUCAUGGUUGGAGAUGGCAUACAGAUUACGGGCAUGGCAGUUGUGACAAUUGUCUUUGCUGCUCUUGGAUUCAUGUCUCCUGCUUCCCGGGGCAUGCUAUUGACGGGGAUGAUAAUUCUCUAUCUUUUCCUUGGAAUCGUGGCUGGAUAUGUUGGUGUUAUUUUAUGGAGGACCAUAAAAGGGGGGUCUGAUGGCUGGAGGUCAGUCUGCUGGUCGACUGCUUGUUUCUUCCCGGGGAUUGUCUUUAUCGUUCUCACAAUAUUAAACUUCAUACUAUGGGGAAGCAAGAGCACCGGAGCUAUCCCUAUCUCGCUCUUCUUCACUCUGCUUUCCUUGUGGUUCUGCAUCUCAGUGCCGCUGACUCUGAUAGGCGGAUUCAUAGGCACCCGAGCAGAGGAAAUACGGUUUCCCGUCAGGACCAACCAAAUCCCAAGAGAAAUUCCUGCUCGGAAAUAUCCGUCAUGGUUUCUUGUCCUUGGCGCAGGGACCCUACCCUUUGGGACCCUCUUCAUCGAACUCUUCUUCAUCCUUUCUAGCAUUUGGCUUGGGAGGUUCUACUAUGUGUUUGGAUUCCUUCUCGUCGUCUUCCUGCUGCUGGUGAUCGUCUGUGCUGAAGUAUCUGUCGUCCUGACUUAUAUGCACCUCUGCGUGGAGGACUGGAGGUGGUGGUGGAAGGCUUUCUUCGCCUCUGGUUCUGUUGCGCUCUAUGUGUUCCUCUACUCCAUCAACUACUUGGUGUUUGACCUAAGGAGCUUGAGUGGGCCGGUGUCAGCCAUCCUUUACCUGGGUUAUUCACUGAUCAUGGCUACUGCAAUCAUGUUAUCCACCGGCACCAUCGGCUUUCUGAUGUCAUUCUAUUUUGUCCACUAUCUUUUCUCCUCCGUCAAGAUCGAUUAAGACUCUGCUUCUUUGGCCUGCCAGGACCUGCUACUCUUUGAAGACCGUCUUCAACACUGUUGUGUGAACAUGAAAGGGCCUUCAUGUUCUUUGCACGCACUCUUGUUGAGUUGCUUUUGAGGGGGGGAAUGUUAUUGUAGUCGCCUAUCUUACAAUGAUACAUCCUAAGGAACCGAACAUUUUAAAUGCUUCUAUUUCAAUAGUUUCUUUUAUUGUUUAUGCCCCAUGACUCAACUCUGUUAGUGUAAUUUCUUUAUGGUUGCUAUAAUUUUUUAGUGUGUUUAGUUGGUUUAUGUCGAGAUAAUCCAGCAUAUUACCAAAUUUAAUUUAGAUAGAUACUAUCAGAUGGUGGAUGUGCUCAGUAGUCUCUAAGUAAUCUUUUGCAAGAUCAGUUCUAUCAGUGGGUUGGGUUAAUUAUAUAUUAUCUCUCAUUGAUUCUAUCUAUUAGUAUCGUGAUCUUUAUAUAUAAAAAAAUUAUAUUAAUUUUUUUAAAAUUUUAUUUAUCUUAACGUUAUUAAUUACAUUGAUGAAAAACAUAAUAUCAAAAAAAUAAUUUUAAUUUUUUUUAUCAAUAUAACUAAUGUCAUUAGAAUAAAUAAAAUUAUUUAUUUUAUUUUUAAGAUUAUAAAGAUCAUAAUGUAAAUUUUUUUAAAUACCCUCUGCUAACAUAAGGGGUGAAAAAGACUGUUAUUUAACCCUCCCAUCUCAAUGUUUCGAGCUUCCACCAAAAACGUAAUCUACUGAAGCAUAAAACUAUAGCUAGCCCCGCGAACCAACUUGUCAAAAUCAUUGGUAUCAUCCACUUCAUGAAGCACCCGCAACGAGAUAAAUCAUAUAUGAUUUCUAACAAAUUAGAGACCUCCGAGGAAACCAACUCACUGUCCUACUUCAACAAAUUAGAGACACCACAGAGCUUAAGAUAGAUACUCUAAAAUUAAUUCACAACGAUUGCAGAGAAAAUUCAAAUAAGCUAUGGAUGACAGUAAUUUUCUGCAUCAUUAAAAUAUGAUUUCUGAUGUCAACAAAAUUGUCUACAAAUCCUCAUCUCGAGUUGAAAGCAGCAUUCGUGUGUUAGGGUCUCAGCAUCUCAUGGAAAAAAGGCCAACGAGAAUGUCACGUACAAUCGAUUACCAAGUUUAACAGAGAAGCCACGGUUAUGGCUUCACUAGCUCCCUGAUGAAUUGCUCGACCUGAGAGACCUCUCUGGUCAGCCCAGAUGACUCGGCCACUGUCACCUUGUUCCGGCACUGAGAAAAUGCGAAUGUUUCUCCUGGUAUCCCGAGAGUGAAGUCGUUGGCUAUAUCAGCGGUCGAGAUUGCACUUCUUGAUGCACGAAGCUUGUCUCUGCCAAAAAAAAGAAAAAGUGCCAUAAUGUUCUAUACUGACACCAAAGAGAACAUACGGUUAUGGAAUGCAAAAAAGAUGCUGACGAUAUCAAAUUCUAUCAGAUCAGGGCCUCUGAUUAAACAGAAAACAACAGUACGGAACAAAAUCGACAACUCUUGUGGAUCGACGUAAGCGUCUAGAAAAAAACUUCACAAUGCUGAACAGAAGGCCUGGUGAGAGGAGUCAUGAUCAAAUAUAGGAAAGGACUCAAUUUGGUCCUAUACAAAAGAAAUUGGGGUUAAAUAUCCGAAACAUAUAUUUAAAAAAUUUAUUUCCCAGUUCUCAUUCUUGUUCAUAUUAAAAAGAAACAAAAAUGUCACCUGCAAUUAGAGGAAUCAUAAUAUUACCACUAAAAAAUAUAUCAUUAACAAAGAAGCAGUGAUACGAGAUAUACAGUACUAGAAACAAUGACUGGUCUUGCAACAACUAAGAAGGAUAAAUAGAGAACCAAUAACAUGUAGAUUCAAAACAAUACUGCCUUUCAUCCAAGAUUGAGAUGCCCUGAUCAUGACUUAUCAUGCAUCUAAUUUGGUGAAAAAUCAAAACAGAACUUCUAUCAUGGCAAUUGAAAGAAAGCAUGGAAAAAUGAAAGAGGAAACAACACAAAUAUGUGGAACUUUUCUAACAUAUUGUGGAUGUUUCGUGUGGUAAGUAUUAGGUCAUGCCAAAACAACAUUUAUUGCACAAACAACAUAUCAGUCAAGUACUAUGUUAUUUAUGAAACUUCAAUAUCAUACGACAACUUCAGAACAAUGAGAAGAUUCAAGGUCUUACAUUUCCUUCUCCAAUUGUUUCCUGAUAAAUUCCUUGGAGUGUGCCGUCACCUUAUCUGCCUUGUUGCACAGUAUCAACAUGGGUAUUCUCCGCUUCACGAUGAUUGCCUUUGUCAGUAUAUCAUACAAGUACCUUGCAGAUCGCGCAAAUAUACAAAAGAUUAUUAUCAUAGUAAUUCAUAAAUAAAGGUCUGUUAACAAGUAGAUACAAGGAAGAAAACAUAAUGAUUAUAACAAUCAUCAUCUAUUAAUAAUACACGAAACUAUAUAAUUCAAAAUAAAUAAGCAAAUCAAUAAUUUGCAUCGGAAAUAAGUAGGUUAGUGACCUACUCAGCAGCUGCUCGGCAGUUCGGUAAGAAGUCCAAACUAUCCACGACAAAAAUGACUCCUGCUGAAUGAGGCAAUAAUUCAUCAAGCUUUGGUCUGAGUCGGGAAUGCCCAGGAACAUCAAUCAAAUGCACCGGCUUUAGUUUUCCAUUCUGUGCACAUACAAAAAGGAAGAUGGUUUCGACAUGAACUUUGAAUCAUCAUAACAGCAUUAUGGCAUGCUUUGACCUAACAGUACUAAGUGCCUGAACUGUUACCUUUUCAAGCUCAGAGUGCAGCACAAAAGUACCAUCAUUGGGUUCCAUUGAUGUGACAGUACCUAGAUGUGGAGAGCCAUCACGAAGCUAGUAUAGUAACAACGACAUACAGUAGUAUCAGAAAGCUGAACAAUGAAUAGAACAAAUCUGGUUCUUUUCUGCAUUAGUUACAUAAUAUCAUAUUGAAUGGUGAAAUCAAAGGAACUUCAAACUUCCCCUUUUAGCUUUGACAAGCAACAGCAAAUUCAGCAUAUUGAUCAUUGUAACUAUAUUAGCUUGUUAUUAUGAUUUAUGCAGAACAGCCACAAGGUGUCACCAAUAUUGAGCUGCUUGCAACAGGAAUAUUUACAUAGUGUUUCAUUUUAGUUGCUGUGAAAGCCUGAACUAUGUAAGGUAAAUAAUUAUAAGAAACAUUCAACAUAAAAAAGAAUAUGAUGACCCAGCCCCCCACUUAUCAAUUAGACAAAAGCUCUGUUUACUUUGUCCAAACAAGUUUGGCAUAAUACAAUUAUCAUGGGCCUAUGCCCAUAAAAAUGUGGAACGGAAAAGUCAACUUUGCUCCUGGAUGCAUAUGGUUAAUAGUUAGGUCUACUUGCUUUUAACUCAAUCUUGUUAUACUUGCUUUAUACAGACAGAAACUUGUUUAACAAACUUCUCAAAGUAGUUGUAACUUCAACAUGAAUAAAUGAAAUAUUGACAAAAGAUUUUUUGUGUUUGAAGUUUGAACACAUAAAUCCUAAACUUCGUCAAUAAACAUCAUCUAUGGUUAUGACCCUUAAAUAAGCCAUGAAUGUCAAAGAAACGGGAUUACUUUAUUGUCGAUAAAUUAGGUGUAUUGUUGGACUCCAUGAAUGUCAAAGACUACAAUAAACCACUAUGCUUCCUGGGGGAGUGCGAUGCUCGACUUAACAAAUAUAAGUUUAUGUUAUGAACCACAGUAACCUUAAAAUUUUUUUCUUUUCCUUUUUGCCUCUGAAGUUCAUGCUUCAUCGUUUCCCUUGUUUGGAGUCCAUAGUUAUAAGAUCAUUGCCAUAAAAGUAAUUAUAGUUGACUGCUAAAAAUGUUUCAAUUGCAAGUGAGAUUUAUUUCAAACAAAAUUUUGCACCAUUAAUAUUUAGUUUUGGCCAAUCCCAAUCCCAAUAAGGAUCAAGCAUUCAGAUCCACAACCUUCUCUGAGAUUAUAGAUUCAGAUAUUGUUGUUCUAGCUGAAAUUAACAAAACCAACCAAUGAACUGAUCCGGUAUCAUUAAAAUAUAUUCAUUUAUGAAUUAUUUUACUUCAAAAAUUAGAUUGUUAUGAUUAGUCAAAGCUCCAUCAAAAUUACCAAAACUAUAGAUGCUAUUAAAAUUGCCAAUUGCAGAACUAUAUCACUUUGCAGAAGGCUGAAAUUGAAAUCACUAUCAAGUACCAAUAAUAAAAACCCAACCGACCUGCAUUAUACAAUGAUAAGUUCAUACUUCAGUUAAUUAGAGAACAAAGACUUUAAUGGUUAUAUCAAGUUAACAAGAACAGUUCUUUACAUGAAACAAGCAAGAUUUUCAGAUCAAUGGACAAACAAAUUUAAAAAUAUACCUGAUAAAAAAGAACAGUUUUUCCACUACCACUUAAGCCAGCAAGCAGUAUGGUAUUGGACUUUGAGCGUCUCAGGACACGAACUGGGAUUAAAAAAAAUAUACAUUAACAAACUUUUUAGUUCUUCACAUGCAUCACCUACACUUGCAAUAAUAUGCUGAAAAAUAUUGUACAUGUUUAGAUAUGCCAUCAAUGUUUCUUCACCAUUACCCUCCUAUGAAGAAUCAUAGACAAUUUUUUUCCAGAAAACUGUUUGCAGAAUCUGUUAAGAAGCACAACUUGCACUAGAUAGACCUAGUCCCUCUUGUUGCUACUUCUAAGCAUGCAGAACAUUAAUAAAGAACAUGAAAAUCAUAAAAGUAGGGUAGAAUGUAUUUACGCACCCAGAUAUGCACAAGAACAUGAAAAAGAUAGAAUCAAGGUAGAGUGGACUUACACAACCCAAAGAAAGAAAUUGUGAAGAUUAGAACAGCAAAAGCAACAUAGAUUUGCUCAAUGGGUUGCUGACGAACCCAUUCUUCAACUCGAUGUAUCAGUUGCUCCAUAUCUACAGUGCAACAGUAAAUGAUUUAUUUCUUGAAAUCAACAGACCUUAGGUAAGUAUUUAUAUACAAUUCUCAAUUUCUCUAAAUAAAUUCUUUGAACCGAGUAAGGCAAAACAAUACAGCAUGAUUCAACCAAAGUUGCCUUACUAUAAUGGAUGCUGCUUUUCUUUCUUUCUUUGGGAUCACACCAAUGGAUGUUGCUAGGAUUACUGGGAGGGGAGCAUGUUGAAACAGAAGAGGUGGCGGGCUGGGCCUUGGCAUCGGGCCAUGCAUGGGCCUCAAGCAUUGGGCCAUGCUGGCCCACGCCAAGCCAAUAUGGCAGACUGCAUUGGAUCCCAAGCUGGGUCGUGCCAUACUGAAUUGUAAGCCUGGGUCAAGUCACACGGGUCUAGUCUAGGCCGGCCCGCUGACUGCACAAGUUGUGGCUCUCAAGCCGUUGAGCCACUGACUCAGCGCUCAAGGCCAACCUGGACCGAGCCUGACUCGGGCUCGGUUCACCCGAUCCGACCGAUCAGCCUUCUUAAAUUAGAUUUUAGUUCUCUUCUCUCAAAAUAACUUGAAAAUUUUGCAAGAAUAUAAACCAAUUAUCAGAAUAAGCAUUUAGAAAAUGCAAAGCUUUCAGAAAUACAAGAUUAAUCAAAACAGACUUCUAAAUAAUUUAAUUUAAAAACUGUUUUCAAUGAAUUAAAAGUUAUAAUAAAUUCAUAAUCCCAAAUUUAAACGUAAAUAUAACAUGAAAAUUCACACAUAAUUCCAUGAAAUAGAGAUGCGCCUAACCAAAUAAAUAGAACUAUUAUUCUAAUCCGGAAUUAGGAUUUUAACAAUUAAAUCAACCUUAAAAUAAUUCGAUUUAAGAUAUAAUAGCGUAGAUUUCAUAAGUCCCAUCAAUUAGUUUUUACUAAUAAUCAUCCAAGCUUAAACUAAUUAAAAUAACACUAUAAUCCAUGCAUCACCAUCUUGAAAUUAAAGGAUUAUUUUAAUAUCAAAAUUCAACAAAUUUUAUUUACUAAUCGUAAAACUUUUUACUGUUCUACCUGACCUCUUACCAAAAACGCCACCGGGGGUUGAGAGCGACUGUGUAAACGAUGGAAGAGCGAAAAGUGGUUUGGGCGCAGCAGCUAGUUAGGGAAGGGAUGGCAGAGAAAGGCUGACGGCAGCAAGCGCGGUGCCGGGGCGGCGAUCUGCACGGGAAAAGAUCACGGAGAGGGUGGAGAAAGAGAAGAGCGACAAAGGCGCCGCGGCAGGCGUCGAGGCGACGCCUGAGGUGGCAGAUCUCAGGUUUUAGGGCAGAGUUCCAAUGCCGAUACGAUAGAUCGCGGGAGGCUCCUCCACAGCAUUUAGAUCAUUCUUUGCUUCUCUGUUGAAGUCUGAAUCUACUCAUAGGUACUUCGGGAAAGAAACCCCCCUCUCAGUUCGGCUUAUAAUAAAGCCGCACCGGUUCAGUUGAACCGUCGUUUUCUUCCGGCUCAUGAUUGCGCGUGUCAAACCGGGUCUAAUUCCACCGGUUUCAUCGUGUCGAUGGUCGGAUUCCGCGGACCAAAAUGGCCGAAAUGCCCAUCGUUUCGCGUCGUCCACUCGGCGCAAGAAAUAGUCGAAGCAAGGGGACGACGGGCUCCCAACGACCCCACCUUCGAGUCGGCUCAAAGCUUCUCGUCUCCAAACACCUCGGCUGCCACGGUUCCCUUGACCCACGAUCGCCGGCUUCCUUCCCCCUUGCCCGGGCAGUUGCAUCGCGGCGCCUCGCCUCCACAAGCCACGCCACGCCCCGCCCCGCCCGGCUGCGGCUUCCCGACUCGUGGACCCCCGCCCGCUACGACCGCUGCCGCCCCAUCGUUGGUGCGUCUCCUACUCUCCCUCCUCGGCAACCAGCGACCAACCGCUCUUCGCGAUCCACGAGAAUGCACAAAUCUCGAUAUUUCCUUUCGUUACUCGUGAUCUCGAUCGUCUUGCCUGCUUUUCCUUUUUCUUUAGAUCUGCUUGAUAUGCGUUGAAUCCGGUGAUAUCUUCAACCUGCAGAUCGAUGGCCGUCUCGCAGCUUUAUGGGUCUGGAUUGGCGGCGAAAUGGAGCAUGCGAUCCUUGGAGGGGCUUCGCCCUUUGCCGUUGUGGCCUAGGGUUGCUUCUUCUGGUUCCCCAGAUCUCAAAAGCAACUACUUCAAAGUCCCUGCCAUUAGGGUUUCCAACAUCAGUGGCAGAAAGGUUUGAAUUUAAGCUAUACUCAUUUUGGGUAGUAGAGAGCUUCUGUGCGUUGAAUUCUGACUUUUUUCUUCAUUUUACAGCUUACAGUCUCUAUGGGCCUUAAUGGAAGUAGUCCUAGAAGCAGUAUUGUCGCCAAUGCUGCUACUAGAUAUGCGGAGGAUAAGCCAGAUCAAGCUGAUGAACCUCUUAAAACUAAUCCAACUGUGAAAUCCAUCAAUGAGAAAUUGGAUAUGGACGCGCACGUACAAGAGGAGGCUGUAGUCCCAACCAAAAGAAGUGCAAAAAUACAUGAUUUUUGCUUCGGAAUCCCCUUUGGUAAGCCAAUCCCAAACUUCAAAUCAGAAUGUUGAGCUUAUUUCUGCUUAUCAUGGGUUGUCAGAUAGGAAAUGAUUGAGUUGGAUGUUUUGUUUCUUGGUAAUUGAUGCAUCUUGGCAUUUGUUUAAUGUUUCAGUUUGAUUUGGGAAAGCAAAGCCUUCUAUCUACUUUUGACUGAGGAUUUAUUUCUCGUCCUCUUCUUAUGUGUAUUAAUUGGCAAGGAAUUACAUGGUAUUUACAGAUGUUACACUGAUAUAUAAUGAAAUGAGAAUUGGAAUUAUUUUUUGACAUGUCAAUUUUGCAUCUAUGGAAAUUGUGAAUUCUCUGUUCUCCAUUAUGUAGUAGCAACAGUAAUCAUUAUCUUUGGUUUGCUAAAUAUAACAUCACUGUGCCUCUCUCUCUCUCUCUCUCUCUCUCUCUCUCUUGCUCACUCGUUCUCUUGCUCACGGCUCGUUUUAUUCUUAAAAUAACUUCUUGCUUAAAUCUAGAUCAUCUAAAGCAAGAGAAGGAACAGUUGCUUAUCACUUCUAUCUGUCAAGGUGGUUAUGUAUCUUUCCCUGGUAACAGAUGUGCCUAUUCAUAAAAUAAUCAUGCUGCUUGGGUGUCACAUGUCCUCGGGUAUCUGUUUGUUUCUUUAUGUCAUAAUGUUGAAUUAUUGUUUCUACUAGAAUGAAGAUGCUAGUGUUCAAACAUGAAGAUACAUUAAAAUUGCAUGAUGACAAAAGGAAGUUUAUUGUUGGUUUCAUGAUUUUAUAUGUUGCUUCCUUGUAAGACUCUUCGUGGUUCCUGCUGUUGCGCUUCGAGUAUGACCUUAUUUUUGUGGAGAAAAAGUAUCCAUUAUUUGCUAUUUACAGUUCAAUGUUUCAGUGAAGUAUUCAGGGAAUCUGAGUAUGAAUAUUGUGGUGAGAGCCAGUGCACUGGGCCACCCCUUUUUUAAUAUUAAUAUUAUGGUGAUGUGAAGAUCGUAAGCUACAUUUUUUUCUGAUGAUUGAUGAUUUCUGUUAUAGGUGGGCUUCUAUUUGCUGGAGGACUGCUUGGGUUUAUUUUCUCUAGAAAUGCCACGGCCAUGAUUUAUGGUGGUGCUAUAUUGGCACUGAGUGUACUUAGCCUAAAGGUUUGGAGGACUGGAAGAUCCAGCUUACCAUUUAUUUUGGGUCAAGCAGGUAUGUAUCACAGUUUCUUUAUUAAAGAAUGAAUACCUGUACACUUAAUAGUCUUUUCAUGUAUUUUUCUAUGGUUCACUAUAAAGGAAAAACUCCUAUAAUUUAGUUUUUUCUACUAAAUGUCUCAAAAUUCCCAAUUAGGACAUUAUUGAGUUUUUAAAUUUAGUGUUUAUUUGCCCUAGGAAAUGUGUGGCAAAUGCUUAGGCAUGGAUGAUUGCCUAGGCUAGCUAGCACAUGGGUGGUAAAUAAGGGUAGGCAUCAAGUCCUUGCUUGGAAUAUAUACAAAUUUAUAAUUUUUUCUUCUCUCUCUCUCUCUCUCUCUCUCUCUCUCUCUAUAUAUAUAUAUAUAUAUAUAUAUAUAUAUGGUUAUUCGUGCCAUGGUAUAUCGCCCGGUAUGGGUGGUAGGUAUUGGUCUGAUAAGGGACUGGUACGCAGACCACCUUGUUCCGGGUGGUGCACAUUUCUAAUUCAGCGUAAAAAAGAAAAAAAAAAAGAGAUUAGAGCUCGCGAACAUGAGCCCUCUUCUCGCAUAAGGUGUUGUCGCCUUGCCAUCAUUGCUUCGCCUUAGCUGCCACUGUUGCUUUGCCCUCGCGUAAGAUGUUGCCACCUCAUCGUCAUCGCUUCCCCAUUGCCGCCGUUGUCGCUUCGUAGUCAUGUAAGAUGGCACCAUCUCGCUAUCAUUGUGAUUGCUUCCUAGGUACACUGCUGCUGCUGUUUUCCUCUUCUUUCUUCUUCUUCCUUCACUUCUUCCUCUUCUUCCCUCUUCCUUCGUCUAUUCCUCUAUCACUACUUCCACUUCUCUUUCUUUUUCUUCAUCGCCGAGCCGCUGAUAUGCACAAGCAUACUGUGUGUCAAUAUACUGGUAUAAACUGGUACGCACGUUCCAAUAGUUUGCUGAAAUGGUCUUGUACCCAAAAAGACAAGCCUUUAUAUAUGUUACACACAUGUGUAACAUAUGUUCAUUUAUGAUUUUAAAUAUAUGUAUAUGUGCAGUACAUUCACCUAUGCUUUCAUGUGUAUAUAUUCAUAUAUUGUAAUUUUUUGAUGUAAAAUAUCAUUGAAGUACUCUUGGAUAUUUUAAUGUCCGUAUUACAAAAACAGAAGCUGAGCUAUGCUGAAGUGUUAAUAGUUUUGUAAUAGUAUGGAACCAUGCACAUUCUUCAUGUACUAAUCUAGAAAUGAAGUGACUAAAUCUAAUGUUUGUUCUAGCUAUUGUUUAGGUGCCCAGGCCAUUGCCUAAAUCACUAUCAUUAAUAUCCAUGUGUUUCAAUUAGGAUGUUUAUGUAUAUAUGAAAUUGAAUUUACAAAAGAAAUGCUUGCAAUUAUGUGAUAUGAGCAAGCAUAGAUCAUCUCGACACCUGAAACCUUGUACACAAUAACCUCAUGGUUGACUGUAUAAUUCUUUAUUCCAUUCGCAGUGUUAAGUGAUGGAUAUAUUAAGUAAACUAUGAGCUUGGAUACUGAAUUUAAUUUGCUUACCAUAUAUACAUACCCAUUUGUGUAUUUUAUUCUGCAGCCUUUUCUGCUGCGCUUCUCUGGAAGCUUCUGCAGGCAUACUCAUUGGUAAGUGCCUUAUCUGGUUUUUCAUUCACCAACAUAUAAGACCGUUUAACAUGUGGCAAUAACCAGUUGGUUUCAUAUGAUGCAGUCAAAGAAAGUCUUUCCUACAGGGUUAUAUAUUUUCUUCAGGUAUUCAUCUCCACCCAUAAACUCUUAACUGAGAAAUUGCCUUUUUCAGAAAAUUACUGAUCCCUGACCACAUUUCUACUACUGCCAGUGCUGCAAUGAUUUGCUUUUACUCUUAUGUGCUAAUCUCUGGAGGAAACCCACCACCUAAGAAGCUGGCGGCAGCUCCCCCAUCAUAACCAUCUGAAUUCAUACAGAAGACUUUCUCUAAGCAAUAUAGUGUUUAUGAUUUCUUCUUUCGAGGUGUGUUUAUGGUGUAGAAACUGAUAAUGGGGUUCUUUUAAUUUUGAUGAAGGCUGUAACAAGAACUGUGAAGCAUGUCUUCAACAUAGUGCCUCACACGAUGCAGUUGCCUUUGACAGAUAAGAAUGUAUCUCAGGAUAAUUGUCUUAAACUAAACGUGAGAUUGUGUGUUCUUUCCAGUGAGAUUACUUAGUAGCAGCAUAUAAUCUUAGUACCUAUCGAGCAAAGGAUGAAAUCCAUCUUGGGUAGUUCUCACUCCGACUAUGCCCAAACUCUUCACUUGCAUCAGCUUCUGCAUAUUAGCCUUCAGAGACUGCAGCUCCUUCAGCCACCACAUGUCUCCGGGAACAAUUAUUGGAAUUGCUUCACCGUUUUUUCAUAGUAUUACAGAUAUAAUAUACAAGUGAAAAAAAAGUGAAAAAAAAAUUAACGUUUAUGUCUGUGUCUUUUGGUUUGUUCAUGUUUUGUACAGCAUAUAAAGAGAUGAUCAAAGACUUAACGGUCCUAAUUUAGUUAGGUUUGAUGAUCAUUUUAGGUUUGUAACUAAAGAUUGUGUCAUGUGGACACUUGUGGGAGAUCUCGAUCUAUAGUGGACCAUUUUGGAUCAUUUGUUGUGCAACCGUUCAGAACGAAAUCUGUUUGUAAUUUACAUUGGUUAUGAAGUGUUUUUUGGAAUGUUUGCUUGUGGAUCCCGAGUGAUGCGCUUUCUCUAGCCUGUUUUCUCUUUUGUAUGUCCUAAGGGACCAUGAGAGGUUUCGAGGAGGCUGACCUUUACGGACGGACAUAUAACGGUGUCGCACGACUUAGGCAAAACUAGCUAAGUCCGUGACAAACGGUAUCAGAGUGGGACAAGCACUCAUAGAAACACUUGACAUGCAAACGUGGGGGACCUAGCGGGGUUGCAUUGAGGGCAGCCAGCAUGUGCGAUUGUUUAGGGGAAAGUAGCAUGGAGAUAUAAGGAAAAUGAAUCACGUAGAGGAGUGGGCAUAUGAGAUUGACAUUUAGAGGAAUGGCUAACCCUUCGUGGAAGAGGCACCACGAUGACAAGCAACAUGAGAAGAAUGCGUAGCGCACAAAAAUUAGGAUAGCUGAGUUUGAGCUACGGCUCAACGUUGGCAACCAUACUUGAUGGUGCUCAAGGCAAGCGAGACGCUUGAUAAAGGAUGCGACUAUAUAAGGUAGAAUGGGUUGUGCAGCAACCGAAAGAGUUAUGCAAAAAUCACAGAGGUGAGAAGAAUUAUUAACUCGAGGAAUUCGGUACUCAUGCAAAGGCUUGUAUGUAAACGAUGGAGUAUUUGUGGCCAUCCCGAGGAGACUGAAACUCAGCGCCAUGGAGUAUUAAAACUUUCUCUUCAACAUGAGAAGGAUACGUCCGUAGGAUGUUGAAGUGUGUAGCGAGUUCAGCAUGUUGUUAGGCCUUGAGAGGUGGAGCGGGGA
rnacentral:lncRNA from 1 species